rnacentral:lncRNA from 1 species
GAGUACUUUUGUGCUUAGAGUUGAGCAUAAAAAUCUGCUGCAACAAGCUCGAAGCUCUCAGCUUGUUGCAGCAGCGUGGACAGAUCCUUUCUUUUUCCUUGGAUUGCUGAAGUUUUGGUUUGCUUAAAAUGGUUGAUUUGUUUGCUAUUUGACUGAGAUGUCAUGUGCAUGUUGGGGAGCCCGUCAGUGUUCAUUAUCUUGUUUGAGUCGAGUUUUUCUUAUUUUUCUGGGAAGUCUGAAUCGAAUUCUUUAGCAAAUGAUCAUAGCAUUCCGUUGUGUUUUUAUCUUUCCCUUCUCCCUGUCCCAAGUGCGUGCCUUUGGGAUCUUGCAUUUCGGUUGCUCUACCUGAAUCCAUCUAGGCUGAAUAAGGGAGAUGCUGCAAUAGAAAGUUGCAGAAGUUCUUCUCACGUUACUUUUGCAUGAAGCUGCAUUAGUUUUUCAUAUUCUUGCUUCCCGUAACAGCUCCCAAAUUGAGUUUCGUCGCUUUGUUUGCACAUUUAAUCUUGAGCCAAUGGUGAUUGCCACUUUUCGAUUUGUCCACGAGCUGUAAUUUGUAGCAGAAACUCACAUAAGUAAAGAAAACUUUCAUCUGGCCGAAUGUCUGAUGCAUGCAUGGAAACGUUAUUAAAUUCUGUUUUUUAACCCCCUAAGCUUUCCUUUAUCUUGCUAUGGCCCAAAUAUUUUAGAAAAUUAAUCAAAUUGACCCCUCAAAUGUUUAUAAUUCUUUCAAUUGGGUCCUUGUCUGGUUUAAACAUUUGAGUAUAGGUUGUUUAGUCUAUUUGGGUGUUUUAGGUGCUUCAAUUUCGUGUUAUUUUCAUUCCAUGUAAUUAAUUGGUAAUUAAAGUGGUGCCUUGACCCUUUUAUUAUUUUGGAGGGAAAAUAAGUAAUCUCGCUUCAUUAGGGCGACAAACUCAAGGGAGGUACACCCUUUCUCUCAUUUCUUACCUUAUUUGACUCUACGUGCCCUAUGUGAUUUAUGUGUUUAAUUGCAUGCCUUUUGAAUGUUUUCAUUUUAUUUAUUUACUCGCUUUAGUCUUCUUAAUUUCGUAUAUUUAUUUUAGCUUCAUUUUGGUUAUUUAAAAGGCAUUUAAAUGCCAAGUUGUAAUAGUUAGGUUUAUUUUAUUUCAUUUAUUUUCAUUUCCCCUCUUAGAUUGUAGUAGGCUUCCCCCUCCUAAUGUAAUAGUUAGGGUUUCUUUGUUUUUUCUUUGUGUGAUUUGCAUGCGUAUGUGCUAUGUGUUUAAUUGCUUUCUUAGGUUUUGGCAUCUAGAUAUGCAUGCUUAUGUGUUAUGUGUUAUGUGAAUUACGUGCUCACAUGUCUACUUGUUUAAUUAUGCACAUUACUUAUAUAUGUGUAUGAUGGAUGCAAAAUGCACGUAACCGUGGCUAGUCCAAUGCUUGUGAGAGAGCGUAGAUGUGAGCUAGUCCAACGCUAGCCCUUAGGAGCCCUUCGCGCGUUAGAUCAUGAUUGUGUGAUCACUUCAUCUCAUGCAUAUCUUUACUUUUUAGGGUCUCUUUCACCAUAUUGCAUGACACUUUCCUUAUAUAUGUAUACCCCCUUUCCCCCAUAUUUUCCCUUAUAUAUAUAUUACUUGCUCCUUUUGUAUGAAACAUGACAUUAGUCUUGCAUUUCAUAUAAGUAUUAGAACUAGGUUAGUUCAUUUGCUUGAUUAGAUUAGGGAAUAACCCCUCGAAUAUGGGAUAUGGACGAGUUUGGCUUUUCUAGCCUUAGCACGCUCGUAUUCCCUCUAUUAAAGGGAAAAUUGAGUCACGAACAUUAGUCCCCCGUACCCGACAUGAUGCAUUCCUUUAAGACAUGUAUAUUUCUAUAAUUAUUUUAUUCUUUUCUUCUUCUUAGAGUCUCAUAUUUUUGCAUUAUUCGUGACCUCUCCAAAGAGUCACUAUUGGGCAUCACAACUAAUGUGAUUGGCACCACUCAAGCUUUGAAGAGAAAUUUUGCCCCGAUGUCCCCCUAGGUCUAGGUUUUGCAUUCAUAUAGUGCAUCCAAAUGUGAUAAAUGCUUUGGUUAAAACAAGAAAAUCUUUGACUAAAUCACGCAACUAGCCUUGGCUAGGUCGAAGGGGUGCCUUGGAUUUCAUCCUUGCCUUCCCCUUCGUCAAAUGUGACUCCCGAACCUUUUUCGUUGGUUUACGUAGACUAGGAGUCGUUUAAAAGAGGUUUCUUUUCUAUCUUUUUUCUUUUAAAAAUUCAUUUUUAGGUGACUUGGUACACCUUAACUCUAUACCAAGUGGCGACUCCAUUUUUCAUUCAAUAAACCCUUUUUAAACUAUAUUUUGGGUCAAAUCGUCGCAUUUUCAUGUCCCAUUUAGACCCGUAUUUUUCUUCGUAAACCAAAAAUCACUUUUCAAAUCAAAAAUCCACUUUUUACUUCAUUUAUUUUUCUUGUAAAAAAUGGGGCGUGACAGCUGGCGACUCCACUGGGGGCUGAUUUGAAAAAUAAAUUUUGAUUUACAAAGAAAAUGAAGAAAAAUAUGGGUCUAAAUGGGACUUGAAAAUGCGACGAUUCGACCCAAAAUAUAGUUUAAAAAGGGUUUUUGAAAUAAAAAUCGGAGUCGCCACUUGGUAUAGAGUUAAGGUGUACCAAGUCACCUAAAAAUGAAUUUUUAAAGAAAAAUAGGAGAAAACCCUUUUUAAACGACUCCAAGUCUACGUAAAUCAAAGAAAAAGGUUCGGGAGUCACAUUUGAAGAGAGGGAAGGCAAGGACGAAGUCGAAGGCACCCUCUCAACCUAGCCAAGGCUAGUUGCGCGAUUUAGUCAAGGAUUUUCUUAUUUUUAACCUAAAAAUUUAUUGCAUUUGGAUGAACUAUAUGAAUACAAAACCUAGAUCUAAUGAUGAAUCGAAUGGGACAAAUAUCUCUUAGAGGUUUGAUUGGACUAAAUCACAUAAGUCGUGAUAGCCAAGGAUGAGCCCUCCAAGAGGUCACGAGUAAUGCUAAUGACGUAAGAAGGAGUGGAAUGAAUGUAUGUAAUGUGAAAACAUGAGCUUGUGUGAAGUGAAAAAAGUAAUAAAAAAUAAUGGUUUAUAAGUGGGAGUGUGCAAAUGAGUGUGCAAUGUGAGGUAUGUAAGGUGAUAAUGUGAAAAUGUAUGUGUGAUAACAUAAAGUGCAUGUGUGCAAGUGAUAGUAUACAAAGUGCGAGUGGUAGAGUGAAAAUGUACAAAAAUAAGAGUUGUGAAGUGAAAAUGUGGAAAAAGGGAUAGAAUAUGAAGUAAGAGUGCAAAAUGAUAGUGGAUAAACGAAAUGCAUGAACCCUAGAAGAAUGCAAGCAAGACGGGUACGGGGAGACCCUAAAUCGUGACUUUUGCUUUUCCUUUUUGUUAGAAGGGAAAACUAGCGUGCUAAGGCUAUGUGUAGCCAUACUCGCUCGUUUCCCUUACCCGAAGGGUGACUACCUAACCUACACAAGCAAAUGAGCUAAUCUAAAUGAAAAUGUAAUCCUAAACGUGUAAGGGAAAGGGAGUGAAGGGUCAUGCAAAAAUGCAAAAACUAAAAGGAAAGAAUGAAUGAAGAUGUAAUGAAGGCAUGCAAGUAUGUGCUAGCGCGGGGACGACCCUAAUUGGUCUAGCAUUGGACUAGCCCUUUACUAACGCUUUUUCACAAGCAUUGGACUUGCGAGAGUUCGAGGGGGAAGACCAUGACUAGCACUGGACUAGCCACGGUGACGUACAUUUGCAUCCAUCAUACACAUACGUAAGUAAUGUGCAUAAUUAAAGCAAGUAGACAUGUGAGCACGUAAUUCACAUAACACAUAACACAUAAGCAUGCAUAUCUAGAUGCCAAAACCUAAGAAAGCGAUUAAACACAUAGCACAUAGACAUGCAAAACACACAAGGCAAUUAAGGCCCUAACUAUUACAUUUUUGAGGGGAAGGCCUACUACAAUCUAAAAGGGGAAAUAAAAGGAAUAAAACAAUUAAAUCCCUAACUAUUACAAUUUUGGUAUUCGAGUGCCUCCCAAAUGACGAAAUUGAACUAAAAUUAAAGCAAAACUAAGCCACUAAAGAAAUAAAUAAGGUAAAAAAUGAAAUAAACACUUAAAGUCAUGCAAUUGAACACAUAAGACACAUAUAUGCAUGUAGGAUCAAAUAAAGUCAAAAAUAAAGGAUAAGGUGUACCUCCCUUGAGUUGGAGCUCUAAUGGGGUGAAAUGACUUAUUUACCCUCCAAAAAUAAAGGAAAAAGGUCAAGGCAUCACUUUAUUAACAAAUAAUCGCAAAAAUGGAAUAAGCAUAAAUUAAAUUAGUCAAAGACACUUGAAAGAAAGCAGAUAACUCAUGUUUAAGAAAUUAAAACAAAGUAGAGACUUGAUUGCAAAAAAUUAAAGAAAUUUAAGGGAUUAAAUUGAUCAAUUUUUCAAUUAUUUGAGCCAUAGUGAGACAAAGGAGGACUUGGCGGCCAAAGUGUAAUUUUAGAAAGUUAUCUCAUGCAAUCUUCAUGCAAGGACGUGAGAAGCAUUCUGCAGCAAAGUUUCACAAGCUUAUGAAGUUUCGGCAACUUUAAGCUUUCAAGAUGCGGAUUUCAUUCAAGACUUCAAACAACAUUCAGCAGAGACCAUCACUCGACACCACCUAACAGCUAGACACUAUGAUUAACGCAAUCCAGUCAUGGACACUAAACCAUUAAAAAUCAAAUGAAGACAAGUGAAGAAUCAAAUGGAAGACGUGUGCAGCAACAGAAAAGCAAAACCAGCCUUGUGAUUUUCUUGAAUGAAACUUCAUCAUUCAACAAAAAGGCCUAUAUGAAGCAACUCACACGGAUUCUACCAUUUCAACAACCAAAAACUAGUGCAAGACUUCAAACAAUCCCAGAAGAUUCAGUCCAAGCAACGGGAUACAAAUGCAGCAAAAGAAAGAGUGAAACCUGCGACAAUUUCCAGCCAUGCUUUUCGGCAAUGUUGCUGCUGCGUUUCAUUUGCUUUAGCCGAGCCAUGUUUGUACGUAAAAGUUCAAACAGACUUGUACUAGUUCAACAACUAAGCCCAACUACAAAGGCUCCAAGCCAUUGUCAUUACCCUCCCCCAAACAUAAUCAUCUAUCUCCAAAAGAAUCUAAGUAAAGCAACCAGGCAUGAAAUGCAACAAAGCAAUGUGAGGAUCUGCUGCAAUUUCGUUCAACCAGAAAACUCCCUCAAUAGCAUUGUUAGAAAAACACAAAUGCACAUACUUACUCUCAACAGGUCCAAUAAUGCUACUAGAAGCGGAAAAGCAGCAUAAAUGCAAAACAAACUUAACAACAAAGAAAUGGCCGUUGCUGCAAUGAGCCGAAAGCUUCAAGCUCACUGCAGCAGACUUGUACGCACAAUAUCCCAUCCCAACGUCAUCUGAUCCCAAGAGACAAGACCAUCAAGCAAGAGCUAUACCCAAAACACAGGUAAACAACGAAAAGGAAACAUCUUGGUCUUGUAAAGUGCAAGUAAAACGUAAGGAAACAACAGAAAGCCAACUGGACUCUUCUUACAUGCCUACCAAGCUUCACAUACGGAUCUCUUUGACCCAAAUUUACUUAGAUGCCUUUUAUCCAACCCAGUCAGGUGUAUUAGCAAGAUUGAACUGACUUUGCUAACUCAUGCAAUAGCAAACAACGACUCAUACACAACCUAACAGAUUCCUUGACCAAAUACAGCAACCGCAUCAUUCAAUCAUAAAGGCGCAAUUAUCGGAGAAAACAAGCAAGUUAAUAACUCUGAUUUUUAUCCUUUUGCUAGCAAAUGUUAAGAAUAAGAGAGAGGAAGAACUCAUUACAGUGUUUUUCUCGAAAUUUCGAUGGCGAUGGCAGUGGGUCUCGGCAAACGAUGGCUACUUCCAGCUCUUCAUCCACUCUUUGGCUACUGGUUCAAAGCCUCCCUCCGUUGCUGUUUUUCUUUUCUUCUCACCAGAACCUCCCUUUUUCUUUCCUCAAACCCUCAGCCUAUAGCUACCUCUCUAUCUCUCACUCCAGCCGCCGCACCAGAUUCUCUUACCCUCUCCCAAAAUUUUCAGCCGUCAUCAGAUUCCUAGCUCUUCCCCUUUGGUUCUUUUUUUCUUGUCUUCCUCGGCUCUCUCUUUCAUUUUUUUUCUCACCCGAAGCUCUCACUCUUCCCUUUUCUUUCCGUUUUUCCCAGCCUUUUUUCUUUUCGCCGCCAAGAACUCUCCACCGUCACCCCCUGUUCUCUCGUUCUCUGGUCCCUUUCUCGUUCUUUCUCCCUCAGUUUCUUUCUUUCCGCCGCCAACUCCCUUUUUCUCUCCCUCCAGCCAUCUGUCAAACCCCCAACUCUCUCCCUAUCUCAAAACCUAGCCGUCCCUCGACCCCCCAUAUAAGCACCGAAUAUCCCUAGAACCUAAGAUCAAUGGUUCAUGUCUUUCUGCAAUUUUCGGUGAUUGUUAAACCAUUGGAUGGCUUUUUUCCUGAGAUUCCUUUUGCUUCGUUGAUGAAAGCCAGGUUAGCAUGAUCUAAAGGUGGAGAAAAAUGACGGAAUGAAACAUAGGAAAAUAAGAUGAUUCGAGCUAAAGAAAAUGGGAAACAAAACGGGAAGUAAGCUGGAAUUUUCUUUGUUCUUGAGCUUGUCCCCUUUUUUUUUUAUAAAUAAUAACUUAAUUAAUAAUAAUGAACCUAAUAAAUAAAGAAAAAUAACAAUUUAAAUAAAAUCAGAUAAAAUGAACAAAACUAGGAACAAAAGAUAAAAACAAAAUGCUAAUAAUUUUCCAUUCCUUUUUUUCAAAAAAUUCUAUGCUAAAAUGACUUAAAAUAAAAAUAAAAGACUAAAAGUAAAUAAAAACUAACACGAAAAAUAAAAAUAAUAGUAAAUAAAAAUACACUAAAAAUUUGGUGUCUACAGUUUGCUCCUCUUUGUCUGAGUUUUGGAAAAACUUGAGACAAAGAAGUAAACACCAAAUACUUACCUGUGAUUGGUCGAACGACUGCCGUUUUUGAAAUGAGGAUUGAGCCCUUUAACAAAAUUUAAAAAUGGGACUGACCCGAACAAACUUUUAAAUCGUGGGACUGACCCGAACAAAAUUAAAAUCAUGGGACUGACCCGAACAAAAUUAAAAUCAUGGGACUUACCCGAACAAAAUUUAAAAUCAUGGGACUGACCCGAACAAACUUAAAAUCAUGGGACUGGCCCGAACAGAAUUUAAAAUCAUGGGACUGACCCGAACAGAAUUUAAAAUCAUGACCCGAACAAAAUUUAAAAUCAUGGGACUGACCCGAACAAAAUUUAAAAUCAUGUGACUGACCCGAACAAACUUAAAAUCAUGGGACUGACCCGAAUAAAAUUAAAUCAUGGGACUGACGCGAAUAAAAUUUAAAAUCAUGGGACUGACCGGAUCAGAAUUUAAAAUCAUGGGAUUGGCUCGAACAAAAUUAAAAUCAUGGGACUGACCCGAAUAAAAUUAAAAUCAUGGGACUGACCCGAACAAAAUUAAAAUCAUGGGACUUACCCGAACAAAAUUUAAAAUCAUGGGACUGACCCGAACAAACUUAAAAUCAUGGGACUGGCCCGAACAAAAUUUAAAUCAUGGGACUGACCCGAACAAAAUUUAAAUCAUGGGACUGACCCGAACAGAAUUUAAAAUCAUGGGACUGACCCGAAUAAAAUUUAAAUCAUGGGACUGACCCGAACAAAAUUUAAAAUCUUGGGAUUGACCCGAAUAAAAUUAAAUCAUGGGACUGACCCGAAUAAAAUUUAAAAUCACGGGACUGACCCGAAUAAAAUUUAAAAUCAUGGGACUGACCCGAAUAAAAUUAAAUCAUGGGACUGACCCGAAUAAAAUUAAAUCAUGGGACUGACCCGAAUAAAAUUAAAAUGGAGUGCACACUAGUGGGACUGACCCAUGUUUAGUGGCAGUGAAAAUGAAAUGCGCGCUAGUGGGACUGACCCAUGUUUAGCGGCAAUGAAAACAAAAUGCACACUAGUGGGACUAACCCAUGUUUAGUGGCAAUGAAAAUAAAAUGCGCGCUAGUGGGACUGACCCAUGUUUAGCGGCAAUGAAAACAAAAUGCACACUAGUGGGAUUAACCCAUGUUUAGUGGCAAAGAAAAUGAAAUGCGCGCUAGUGGAACUGACCCAUGUUUAGCGGCAAUGAAAACAAAAUGCACACUGGUGGGACUAACCCAUGUUCAGUAGCAAAGAAAAUGAAAUGCGCGCUAGUGGGACUGACCCAUGUUUAGCGGCAAUGAAAACAAAAUGCACACUGGUGGGACUAACCCAUGUUCAGUGGCGAUGCAAAUGAAGGGCUCACUGGUGGGACUGACCCAUGUUCAGUGGCAGUGAAAAUAAGAUGCACACUAGUGGGACUGACCCAUGUUUAGUGGCAAUGCAAAUAAAAUGCUCACUGGUGGGACUGACCCAUGUUCAGUGGCAAUAAAAAUGCACGCUAGUGGGACUGACCCACGGCUAGUGGCGAUGUAAAAGAAAUGCUCACUAGUGGGACUGACCCACGGCUAGUGGCGAUGCAAAAUGAAAUGCUCACUAGUGGACUGACCCACGGCUAGUGGCAGUGCAAAUGAAAUGCUCACUAGUGGGACUGACCCACGGCUAGUGGCGAUGUAAAAGAAAUGCUCACUAGUGGGACUGACCCACGGCUAGUGGCAGUGCAAAUGAAAUGCUCACUAGUGAGACUGACCCACGGCUAGUGGCGAUGUAAAAGAAAUGCUCACUAGCGGGACUGACCCACGGCUGGUGGCGAUGUAAAAGAAAUGCGGGUAUGUAGGAAGAAACUGUAUAAGGCUUGCUUGAAAAAUUAUCCAAAGAUUUGCCCCAGUGUGAUGAAUUGGUCAGUGGGAUUAAACCCGAGCCUGCCUUAAUUGGUGGUACAAAAUCCAAACCCAACAUGAUAUUUGUGAAGUUGGCGGUACAAAAUCCAGGCCCAACGUGAUGUUUGUGAUGUUGGCGGCACAAAAUCCAGGCCCAACGUGAUAUUUGUGAAUGGUCAGUGCGAUAAGACCCUGUCCUGCCAUCCAAUUGGUCAAGAAAUUAAGUGUGAUUGUCAAGAAAGUGGGGGGAUAGAAGGGUGCGCGGCAUACGCUGAAACUUCAUCAACAAGAAAUUGAAAUUUGUCAAGGAACAAGAAAUUAAAUUCAAGUUUGAUUUUUGAGAAUUUUUCAUAAAUAAUUGGCCCCAGUUUCCGCCAAUUAUUGUGCAACCGAUCAAUUGAUUUGCAUUACGGCAUGGUUGCUCCUCCUUGAAGCCUUGAUUCGUAAGAUUCUGGCUUGCGCUUCUUCAUCGAUUUCAGCCAUGGAUACCUGCACAGGGGCUUGCCAAAAUACAACAUGCACUUUAUUUUAAAUAUUGCAACUACUACUCAUAGAAGGAGUAGUGGGAUUGAUUUGAAAGUCUUGCUUGACUAUUUGACGAAAUCAUCAAAUGGACUAUAAAAAAUUUGCCCCAGUGUGGGCUUAUUUUGCAAAAUCUUACAAAUGAAAAUUUGCCCCAGUGAGGGCUCCUUUGAUUACAAAAAUUUGGUCAGAUGAUUCCCCAUUUAUUUGAACAAAGAGAAAUUGCACUUUCUAAAAUUUAGAGAAUAAUCAUAUAUACAAUGUGAAGAAAUUUAAACGUCGAGUUUGAACUCAUGCAGAAAUUUCAUGAUGAAUCUCUCAGAAUAACACCAGAUUACAGAAGAUUUCUUCCUCACUUUUAGCAUCUGUGCUUAGAGUAACGGAUUACCACUUCUUGUUGGCUCAUCUUUCAGGACCAAUCAAAUGGGCGUUAUUUCUGAUUUGGAAAUGGCUAAGGAAAAUAAGAAGUCAAGAUUUGUCUGAUUCUUAUGCCCAAAAAUUAUAUGUAAUCCAUUCAACAUCACAUCUUAGUGAAAAACUCACCAUAAACGUCCAAAAUUUUUCCAAUAUAGGGUAGUGACCAUCAAGGCACUUAUUUGAAACGAAAAUUAUUCUUUCAAAGGCUCAAAUGGGAGAGCAAAUGAUAAAAUCUGUAUAGGUAGAGAAACGAAUGCUCGAAGUAUCAUUCCAAAUUUCCAAAACAAACAAGAAUAAUGCACAUUUUGCUUUCACUUAAAUGUGGAUUGAACCGGAUUAGACACAGUGAACAUUUACAAGCAAAAAGUUGCCCCAAUUUGCAAUUUAUCAAUCAAUGUGACUGAUUUUUAUUUUGGGGUUAAGUGAAGGAGAAAGGUAUCUCAUGGGGCCUUCUGAGUGACCUCUUUUAAUUUUAAGCACUCUUAUUGUGUAACUCAGAUCACCAAUCUAGUGUACACAAGGAUUUUAGAAAGCAUACACUUGCGAAUUUUCAGGCUGGAGGUUGAAAAAAUCUCAAUUUGAGUUUAUUUCUUAAAAUUCAUCAUGAAAUCUCUAAUGAGCAAGAAUAAAGAAUGAAAUGUACAAAACAAUAAUUGUUUACAAACUUUAUUGCUGAAAAAGUUUAAAACAAAAUUUCUCGUUCAAUUAUAAUACAAAUGAGAAGAGAAAAACUUCUAAGGAGCUCCACAUAUACACUUUUUGUCUUCUUUUCUUUUGGAACAAAAAUGUAUUAACUAAUCCAAUAAACAGAAUUUUUCUUUGAAAAGCAAUUAUGAAGUCUCUUAGAGGCUUUAGCCUAACGCUUCCAGAUAGAUCCUUCGUGUUUUCAUUGCAAGGUCUGCCCAAGAAUCAAAUAAUACUUGUAAUUUUCACACUUUAUUAGAUCAGAAUUGUUAUCAGAUAUAGAAAAAUGUUCUUUACCUUAUUGAAGCAUUUUUAUGAAUGCAGGGGGAAGGGGAAAAAUAAAAGAAAAAUACCCAGAGUUAGUAAAUAAGACUAUAAAAUCGGUAUGCAUGUCCUAUGGGGGGAGCCCUUUUUGUGCCAAGGGUAGGCCUAGAAUGAAAUGCAAUCCUCUAGGGUAGGCAUCAUACAAUACCUGAUGAAUCCGAUCAACUAAGGGAGCGAAAAAUAAUUUGAAAAUUUGACCAAUUGGAGUGGAAAUGGGACACUUGUCCCAAAAAUGAGGACAAAGUCCGAAUGGAUUGCUUGUUUUGAUCAACACAUAAAAUCUAUGCUUAAAAGGAUUACAUGUCUCAACUAGUUUAUUCAGUGAAUUUUAAACUUAAACCCUAAAAAGGAAUAAGCGGGUCAAGAGGAUAGGAUGAAAUGGAUGAUUUAUUCAAAAUUGACUAGAUUACCUUAAAAAGAGUAAAAUUGUCAAAUGUAUUGAAUGAAAUUUAAUUAUUUAUUCAAAAUUGAAUGGAUAACCCUAGAAAUGAAUUAAACUAAUCAAUUGAUCAAAUAGAUCGAGUGAAAUGAUGAUUUAUUCAAAAUCGACCGAACUGCCCUAAAACUAGGCAAAUUGGUCAAAUGGAUCGGACAAAAUUGAUGAUUUAUUCAAAAUCGAUAAGAUUGCCCUAAGAAUGGGUAAACUAAUCAAAUGAAUUGAAUGAAAUUAGUGAUCUACUCAAAAUCGACUAGAUUGCCCUGAAAUUGAUGAAUAAAAUGGCCCAAUGGAUUGAAUAGAAUUGAUGAUUUAUUGACUAAAUUGUCCUAAAAUGAAUGAAUUGACAAAAAUGAAAUUGAUAAAUAAUUUGAUCAAAUGAAUUGAAUGGAAUUGAUGGUUUAUUCAAAAAUCGAUGGAAUUAUCUCCCCUUUGGUAGUUUCAAAAAUGCAUUGCGAUGCAUUAGCCUAUGAGCCUCCUACAAUCAAGAUUUGGCCUCAAUAAGUUUACCAUCUCAACAAUGAGGAAUUAGUUGCGAAUUUCUUCAAGUUAAUGUCCUUUAAGCAAGGGAUUUUUACCAACUAUGUUAAAAAUGGCCAAAGAAUGAUCGUUAGAUGCUCAUUUUCUAAUGUACCAAAGAUCGCCCCAGGGCCAUGGAAAGGAUCGGAUCCUACCUUACCUUGUACACUACCCCUUUGGAUGGUACAAAAAUAUAAACGUGCAAAUCUCCUUGGAUUAAGUAUCCGAGACACGAGGUGGCUUAUUCCUAACGCGGGAUCCCCUAAAUGGCAUUCCCCUUCUAGGGUUUAUGCGUGAUGCCAGUUUAUUAAAGCAGUAAAAUAUGCAAUUUGAAAUGAAACAUGACCUAAGGGACCCUUUAUUUGCCAGGGUAGGCCUAAAAUGAUAUGGCAUUAUUAAUUUAUGAACGGAAUAUACCAAAAUUUCUUAAACAUGGAAUAGCCUAUCUACAAGGGUAGGCUCUAAAAGAAGAUCAUGCCAGACCUUUUAUCUCUUAAUGUUCGUGAAUGCAAAACGCAAGAAACAAGGAAAGUUAGCUCAACACAUAACACAUUGUGGCAAUCAAAUAAUAAAAUAUAGAAAGCAGAAAUAAGGUGAGAGGGUUGGAAUCCCUCCCCUCGUGCAUAGUGUCCCUAGUUCAGGAUAAGGUCGACUCUACCCUAGGCAAUUCUAAUAUGGAUGCAUGAGAUUUGGUUCACUAAUGCAUCUAGACUUGAUAAGGCUUCGGCUCCCAAGCCUUCAGACCUAAAGGCGAAGGGUCAUCACUCCCAGGGCCUUCGGUCGGUGGCUCGAGUGAUCCCUUAGGUAGCGCUAUGGGCGCAGAGCACACCAUCCGCCUACCCAAGGCAAUCGAUCCUAAUCCUACAAGGAGGUGUGGGAAACGCCCACGAAAAAGAAAAAAAUAGGGUAAAUAAGACUAUGCAUGCACGUAUGAGGUGUUUUCUUAUUGAGGGGAGGGAUUAAAUACCUUAAAUGCGGACGGAAGUUCUAGGGCAACUACCCCCCAUCCCAAAAUGCAAUCGCGAAACAAGUAAAAGUAAACACAUAAAUGAACCAUCCAUUCAUCACAUACGUAGUGUGCGAAGAGCGAUUGUGCGCGUGAUAGAUGCAAAAUCCCUAAAAAGAGAAAAAGGGCAAAAAGGGAAAGAGGAAUGCAAUCCUAAACAUCCAAAUGUAAUAGAUAAGAAGGUUAAAAGAAGAAAACAAUCGACUAAAUCAAAUGCUCGGACUCUCUAAGUCCCCAGUGGAGUCGCCAACUGUCGCGCCCCAUUUUUAUAAGAAAAAUAAAUGGUUUUAAAAAAAGUGAAUUUUUGAUUUAAAAAGAAAAAUGGGCCUAAAUGGGGGUUUGUAAUGCGACGAUGUGGGCCCAAAUUAUAGUUUAAAAAGGGUUUUUGAAAAUAAAAAAUCGGAGUCGCCACUUGGUAAUGAGUUAAGGUGUACCAAGUCACCUAAAAAUGAAUUUUUAAAGAAAAAUAGGAAAAAGUAGUAAGAAACCCCUUUUAAACGACUCCUAGUCCACGUAAACCAACGAAAAAGGUUCGGGAAUCACAUUUGACGAAGGGGAAGGCGAGAAUAAAAAUCCAAGGCACCCCUUCGACCUAGCCAAGGCUAGUUGCGCGAUUUAGUCAAAGAUUUUCUUUUUUUUUAACCUAAAAAUUUAUCACAUUUGGAUGUACUAUAUGAAUGCAAAAACCUAGACCUAGGAGGGUGUCGGGGGGUUGAAAUGUAUCUUCAAAGCUUACUUGGUACCAAUCACAUUAAUUGUGACGCCCAAUAAAGACUUUUCGAAGAAGUCAUGAAUAAUGCAAGUCAUGUGACUCGAAAGAAAGAAAAGGUAAAGAAAAUAAUAAUAUACAAAUGUGUAUGACCUAAAGGAAUGCAUCAUAAUGGGUGCGGGGUACUUAUAGUCAUGACUUUCAAUGUUCCCUUUAAUAGAGGGAAUACGAGCGUGCUAAGGCUAGAAAAGCCCAACUCGUCCAUAUCCCAUAUCCAAGGGGUUUCCCUAUCUAAUCAAGCAAAUGAUCUAACCUAAAUCUAAUACUUAGAUGAAUGCAAGUCUAAUGUCAUGUUUCAUACAAAGGGGGUAAGGAAUAUACAUAUAAGGGAAAAUACGGAAUAGGGGAUAUAAGUAGAAGGGAAUAUGGGAUAAAGGAUGUACAUAUAUAAGAAAGUGUCAUGCAACAUGGUAAGACCCUAAAAAGUGAAAACAUGCAUGAGAUGAAGUGAUUUUAUCACACAACCAUGAUCUAACGCUCGAGGGGCUCCUAAGGGUCUAGCGUUGGACUAGCCCAUGUCUACAAUUUCCCACUAGCAUUGAACUAGUGAGAAAAGUCGGAACAAAGGGCCACAACUAGCGUUGGACUAGUGUGGAUUCGAGAAAUUGACCACAACUAGCAUUGGACUAGUGUGGUGACGUCACACAUCGGUUACAAUCAAAUAAAUCAUGUCAGACCUAAUAGAAGCAUGUAAACACAUAAAUCACAUAGAGCACAUAACACAUAAGCAUGAUAUCUAGAUGCAAGACCCUAGGAAAGCGAGUAACACAUAACACAUAGGCAUGCAAAAACACACAAGGCAAAUAAAGUAAAUAAAGCCCUAACUAUUACAUUCGGGGAACCCUACUACAAUCUAAAGGGGGAAUAAAAUAAAUAAUCAAAUCCCUAACUAUUACAGACUUUGGCAUUUAAAUGCCUUUCAAAUAUUAGAAUGAACGCGCGCAAUAAAGUCAAAUAAUAAAAAGAGAUAAACGAAUAAAAUGAAAUAAAGCAUCCAAAAUCAUGCAAUUGCACACAUAGACACAUAACACACAUAAGGUCAAAUAAAAAAAUAAAAAAAGGAUAAAGGAUAGGGUGUACCUCCCUUUGAUUUGGAGCCUUAAGGAAAUGAAAUUACUCUUUGAUUUAGCCUCCAAAAACAAAGAAAGGGUCAAGGCACCACUUUAAUUAACAAAUAAUCAUGAAAUUGAAUCAAUUAAAUCAUGUAAACAACCCACAUUCAAGAAGUCAAAAGAAGAAAGGACUUGAUUGCAAAAAUUAACAAAGCUUUGGGGUCAAAAUUAAAGAAAAAUAAAGUUUAGGGACUCAUUUGCAAUUAAAGUAAGGACUCAAUUGAAAGAAAUGGGAAGUUUUCAGGGCUUUAGUACAAUUAAAGAAAAGUAUAAGGGCCAUUUUGCAAAUUCGCUUCUGGUCUUGACAACCCAACAGGCCACUUGGACUAUUUUGCAUCUUAUUUGGGCCAGAAGCCCCCUAAGCCCAACCGAAAACCCUAAGAAAGCAAGCAGGCCAACCUAUCACUUUCCAACAAAACAAACCCAACCAAAAGAGUGGGCCCUUUAUUUCCUAAACCCAAACUAGAAACCCAAUCAAAAUAAAUCAGACCCACCUUUACAAACACAAACAAAUAUCAUUACCCAAAACCUAAACCCAUAAUACUAAAUCUAACAAAAUAAACAAAACAACUAAAAUUAUUAAGGACUAAUUAUGCUCUUAAUCCCAGAAAUAAUCGGCUUAAAAAAACAUGAAAAAACGAUUGAAACUUAAUAAGGGCAGAAAUUAUUUGAUUGCAGAAGUUUUCGGGCCAUAGUGAAUAAGGGAAAAUGUGAGAGGUUCAAACAAAACAAAAUUAAGGACCUGAUUGAAAGGCUUAUGACAGUUUUGUGGCAAAUUAUGAAGUCUUAAAAACUUGUCACAAGGAAAAGGACAAUAAGCAUCAGUUUCCAUUUCCGUCGAACUCACACAAGCAAAUCAUCAUUCAAAGGGGAAUUUCAGUUGGGCGUUUUCUCAAACAGGUUGGGGGCAUAGAAUUUCAUCAGAUUUUUGCUCAAAUUGGGGUUAAUCAACCCCAAAAUUUUUAUCAGCGACCCAAGACAUUCAAUUCAAUCAAUGUAUGCAGUGUGCGUAUUCAAAGAAAAAUGAAGCCAAUUAACGGGAAAAUUGCCCCAAAUGAAACCGCGGAAAACCCAUUUCAAAGGCAGGACAAGAACUGAAAAACUUUUAGAAAAGUGACUUACAGUGCUCUUGUUUGGUAAAGACUCGCGAAUGGAGAUGGGGAAUUCUGGAGCUAAUGACCAGCCGCGAUACCUUCCCUCCUCCUCUGUUUUUUCUUCAGCCGUAGCACUCACUCCCGCUUCCUCAUUUUUGCCCGAAGCUUUCGUCCCGAGCUCCCUCUUUUCCUUCUAGCUCAGCCUUUUUCUAGUUUUUCCGUAGCUCCCCAAAGCCUCUCUCUUGAUUCCCAGAUUCUUGCUCCCUCUUUUCUUGUUUCCUUUUUCUUUGCCCCUUUUCUUUUCUCUGUUUUCCUUUGGCUCUGAAGGUUUUCACAGUCGAAGCUUUCCCUCUUUUCCUCUCUGUUUUGCUUAGCCCCAAAACCUAGCCGCUAUUCCUCCGCCCAUGACCGUUUCCUUUCUCUUCUGUUUCUGCUUUUUCUUUUUUCAACCCCCCCAAAAUCCCAGACUUUUCUUUGGUUCUCCGCUGCCCCUUUUUUUCCUAGCCGGCCAUUCCUUUUCAACUUCCCCUCUCUCGGCCCUCAACUCUGUCCCUUUGAUUUUCCCGUCGCUCCUUCCUCUGUUUUUUCGUUCCCAAGCUCCGUCUGUCCGCUGCCCUCCUUACCAAAUUUUCCAGGCUUUUCUUUCUCUGUUCCUCCUUUUCCCUUUCUCGUUUGUUUGCCCUAUAGUUUUUCCCCAUUUCUUUCUUGCCGACCGACCCUUAGCCGCCCUUGCGUUUCUCCUCCUCUGUUUUCUUUCUCGCUCCCCAGACCAAAAAACCCCCUCAAUCGUUCAGCUUUUUCUUUCUUAUUCUUUUUUUUCUUUCUUUUCUGAGCCCCUCUCGACCUUUUUCUCCCCUUAUUUUGCAAUCAAAUCCUAUCUUACAAGUGUCUAGACAUCUUGCCACCUAGGUGAUGUGUUGUUAAAAAAUCAAAGGGACACUUGUCCCCAUGCAUGCACCCUCCAUGUGUCUACAGCUUGCCCCUCUUUGUCUGAGUUUUGGAAAAACUUGAGACAAAGAAAUAGACACCAAAUACUUACCUGCGUUAUUCGGCUGCAAACUACUCAAGCGAUCGAGGACUGACCCCUUUUAACAAAAUUUUAAAAUGGAAUUGACUCAGAUAAGAAAUUUAAAGCGGGACUGACCCGAACAGAAAUUAAAAUCAUGGGACUGACCCGAACAAAAUUUAAAUCAUGGGACUGACCCGAACAAGCUUUAAUCAUGGGACUGACCCGAAUAAGCUUUAAAUCAUGGGACUGACCCGAAUAAAAUUAAAAUCAUGGGACUGGCCCGAACAAAAUUUAAAAAUCAUGGGACUGACCCGAAUAAGCUUUAAUCAUGGGACUGACCCGAAUAAGCUUUAAAUCAUGGGACUGACCCGAAUAAAAUUAAAAUCAUGGGACUGACCCGAAUAAGCUUUAAUCAUGGGACUGACCCGAAUAAGCUUUAAAUCAUGGGACAGACCCGAAUAAAAUAAAAAUCAUGGGACUGACCCGAAUAAAAUUAAAAUCAUGGGACUGACCCGAAUAAAAUUAAAAUCAUGGGACUGACCCGAAUAAGCUUUAAAUCAUGGGACUGGCCCGAAUAAAAUUAAAAUCAUGGGACUGACCCGAAUAAGCUUUAAUCAUGGGAUUGACCCGAAUAAGCUUUAAAUCAUGGGACUGACCCGAAUAAAAUUAAAAUCAUGGGACUGACCCGAACAAAAUUUAAAAUCAUGGGACUGACCCGAACGAACUUUAAAAAAUCAUGCGCACUAGUGGGACUGACCCACGGCUAGUGGCAGUGUAAAUGAAAUGCUCACUAGUGGGAUUGACCCACGGCUAGUGGCGAUGUAAAAUGAAAUGCUCACUAGUGGGACUGACACACGGCUAGUGGCAGAGUAAAAUGAGAGGCUCACUAGUGGGACUGACCCAACGGCUAGUGGCAGGGCAAAAUUAAAUGCUCACUAGUAGGACUGACCCACGGCUAGUGGCUAUGCAAAAAAUGCUCACUAAUGGGACUGACCCAACGGCUAGUGGCGAUGCAGAAUAAAAUGCUCACUAGUGGGAUUGACCCACGGCUAGUGGCAAUGAAAUGAAAGGCUCACUAGUGGGACUGACCCAACGGCUAGUGGCAGUGUAAAAUGAAAUGCUGGUAUGUGUGAAGAAACUGUAUAAGACUUGUUUGGAAAAUUAUCCAAAGAUUUACCCCAGUGUGAUGAAUUGGUCAGUGGGAUUAAAACCGAGCCUGCCGUGAGAAUUGGUCAGUGGGAUUAAACUCGAGCCUGUCUCGGUUGCACAAAUCCAAUCCCAACGGGAUGUUGGCGGCACAAAGUCCAGGCCCAACGUGAUCUUUGUGAUGUUGGCGGUACAAAAUCCAGGCCCAACGUGAUGUUGGCGGCACAAAAUCCAGGCCCAAUGUGAUGUUUGUGAUGUUGGCGGCACAAAAUCCAGGUCCAACGUGAUCUUUGGAAUGUUGGCGGCACAAAAUCCAGGCCCAACGUGGUGUUUGUGAUAUUGGCGGCAUAAAAUCUAGGCUACUCACUAAGAUGUACCAGGAGGGCUCAUCCUUGGCUAUCACGACUUAUGUGAUUUAGUCCAAUCAAACCUCUAAGAGAUAUUUGUCCCAUUCGAUUCAUCAUUAGAUCUAGGUUUUGCAUUCAUACAGUUCAUCCAAAUGCAAUAAAUUUUUGGGUUAAAAAUAAGAAAAUCCUUGACUAAAUCGCGCAACUAGCCUUGGCUAGGUUGAGAGGGUGCCUUGGACUUCGUCCUUGCCUUCCCUCUCUUUAAAUGUGACUCCCGAACCUUUUUCUUUGAUUUACGUAGACUUGGAGUCAUUUAAAAAGGGUUUUCUCUUAUUUUUCUUUAAAAUUCAUUUUUAGGUGACUUGGUACACCUUAACUCUAUACCAAGUGGCGAAUCCAUUUUUCAUUCAAUAAACCCUUUUUAAACUAUAUUUUGGGUCAAAUCAUCGCAUUUUCAUGUCCCAUUUAGACCCACUUUCUUUGUAAAUCAAAAAUCAUUUUUCAAAUCAAAAAUUCACUUUUCAAACCAUUUAUUUAAUUAUUUAUUUUUCUUGUAAAAAAUGGGGCGCGACAAAACCCUAAUCUGGAAAUUUUUGCUUCAAACCAGAAAUUUUCCACUAAUCAUUACAAUUAUCAUACCAAAGCUUCAUUCUAACCCAUACUAGACCAUCAUACAUGAGCAAACAAUAUUAAUCAUAUAAAAACAGAAAAAUUCCCAAUAAAUAGAAAACUUAGACAACACAACCAUAAUUCAUGAAAUACUUCACAAAAUUGCAUCUUUAACUACCAACCUCUACUAAUUUCACAUCAAAACCAACAAAGGGAUAAUUUCUUAACCACUCACCUUUGUAACCUCAAGAAACAAGAUAGCUAGGGCUUGUUCUUCCCAAAUGGCUCCACCAAUCCCCCUUAAACUAGUUUAGCAACUCACUUUUGUGGAGCAUUUUGGAAUUUAAACGGUUGAUUUGUGAGAUUCAAGCAAGAAAUUGAAGAAAGAAGUUGGGAGUUUUUCUCUUCUUUUCCACCAAGAAAUUCGACCAAAGAGGGAGAAAUGGAAGAUGAUUUUUGGUCAAAAUUAGUUUUAAGAAGGAAAGAAAAUAUCUUGGUCAAAAGUCCACCCUCGAAUAGAAACGCGACAUGUGGCGCCUUUUAUGUGUAAGCUUAUCUUCUUGUCUCUCCACUCUCAUCCAUAUAACAACCUUCAAUUAUCUCUUAACACCUGGUAAAAUAAAUCCGAUAUCCAAAACUUAACCUAACUGGCCGAAUUUUUCCGAACUUUCCGCACUAGCGGGUCCCACGUCCGGUAUACGUUCUUAAUUUCUCAAAAACUAACCGAUACUAUAAAAAUAAUUUUAAAACCCUAUUUGCUCAUAAAAAUUAUCUAGAAAAUUUUCCUAACAAAGAAAAUGCAGAAAAUAUGCCAUUAAAUAGAAUAAAACCCAGAAAAUGAGAAAAUUACGGGGUCUCGCACCCUCUCCCCCUUAAAAAAAAUUUCGCCCUCGAAAUUUUACCUUCAUUUGCAUCAAACGAGUGCGGAACUGUUUGGGUGCCUAAUGCAUAAGCUUUUGCUGGCCCACUAGUUCGGUUCCCUCUUUCAUUUGCUUGUUUUGUUUUAGCUCCCUCCAGUUGCGGAAUACUACCUCCGCGUGACUGUCUCCUCGGACAGUUGCUAACUUGGUGCUCACCACUCUCACAAAUCAAGCACUUCCGCCCUUUCCGCCAAUAAUCGUUCUCGGUAUGAUUGACCUUUCCGCAAUAGCCACAAGUCAAGUAGGAAGCCAUUUUUUAGCUUUCUGGAGAAGUCUCCCCAUAUCCGGUUUGGCUUACUUUGGUACACCUUCAUUUCCCGCCCCUACUGUCCAUGGCGGGUAGGACAAAAAGUUCACUUUCUGCAUUUUAGAAGGUGCUAUUGAUUCACUAAGAGAUUCUUCAAUCACAUUACCAACUGCACCUCUUUUCCGAGUUUGGGAGGCUUUUACUUGUGCCUUUGCAUUCUCGAUUCGUUGAGCCUUCUCAAGGGCCUCCGUAAAAGUAUUCACUUGCGCCGCGGCUAACGCCUCUUGGAUGUCCAAAUUCAGUCCCUGUAUAAACCGUCUUACUCUUCGCCGUUCAGUGGCUACCAGUUCAGAAGCAAACUUGGAUAAUCUUGUAAAUUUUGUUUCAUAUUCGACCACACUUAACGUUCCCUGGCGUAACCUAAUAAACUCAUCCUCCCUCCUUUCUUGGACUAAAGGUGGGAGGUAUUUCUCGUUAAAUUCUCUUAUGAAGUUCGCCCAUGUCCAGAUGGUCUGUUCUCUUUCCCACUUUGCUCUAAUUACGUUCCACCAUGAUCGGGCCGGUCCCUCAAAUUGAAAUACUGCAAAGUUCACUUGCCUUUGCUCUAUGUAGUUUAGGGCUGUGAAGAUAUUAACCAUGGUUUCUAUCCAUUGUUCAGCCACGUCCGGAUCGGGCCCUCCAAGGAAUUUUGGCGGAGCAAACUUCUGGAACCUUUCAAGAGCCUUAUCCUCGCCCAUCUCAGGGUUCCGAUUUUGGGUUACGGGUAUUUGGCCUUGUUGAUCCACCAGUCUUGCCAAGAUAUCUGUCAUCUGUUGCAUUGCCGUUGCCAUUUGGUCUCCAGUCGCAGCUCUUGAUCCCUGCCCUUGCUCGGCUGACGUUUCCCUUUCUCCUCUUGAUUCUGGGGUCCGCUCAGUUCCCCGGCCUCGACCACGUCCACGACUACGUCUCCCGUCCAUAGAUAUGUUUUUCUCUCUCUCUUUUCUUUUCUUUUCCCCAAAAGGUAUUUUAGUGAAUAAACACCGUAAAUUAACUAAGCACCAAUUCCCACAUACCAAAUACACAAGUAAACAUAUACGCACAUAACAUGCCAGAUCAAGGAGGCACGGAAUCAAAUAUACAAAUACAUAUCACAAAUACAUAUCAAGUUUGACAGAUAAUCAUAUACACGAAUUCACAUGCUAACGUCAUGUAGUAGCCAUAUAUGGGUGCAUCACAAGAAAAGGGAUACGUUGCCCCACACCCUGUUAACCCCGUCCGGUCUCUCACGUCACUUUCUAUCCAACUAGAGGUCCAUUGACCUCUCGUGCUCAUUCUAGCCAGACAAAGCCUGUUCAUGUUCCCAAAAUGCAAUUUCCAAGUACUUAACGCCACCUCAACUUUGGAGUACUCGGGCACAAGAAUCCGAAAUAAGACAAUUCACAUCUCGAGCUGGCCAGUCCCAAGAGUAAACUAUCUUCAAUCGAAAUUCCUACCCGACGUACCUAUCUAUGAUCCUCAAAUACCAUAAGAAAAUGUAAAGCGUAUAACAUUCACAAUUCAUGGCUUAUGCUCGAACGAGCACUUAGUCCCUCAUACUCAUUCACCACUUAGUCCAGGCUCACUCCGCGCAGAGACCACGCGAAGCAGGCUCUAGGUUUUAUCCCUCAAUUGCUUAACUUUAAAGUCAAAUCGAAUUCCCACAGUCCGGCAUCCUAAACUUUAGCCUAGGAUACACUACAGAGAUCUGAAGGCUAAGCUCUGAUACCAACUGUGACAGCCCCACUUCCCCUUUAGGCGAACCAGAGGGUUCAGCGGACCGCCUGCCCAGCUCUCACCGGGACUCAGUCGUUCACUCACACAAAUCAGAAAUAGAUCCACAAGAAAGAACAAAACGAGGAUCCAAACCUUAAAACAAAACUUAUAUACAUUGCUAUCUCCAAAAGUAGUACAACCGACGAGAAUACAAAAGUUCUCAAGUCACCAUACAACCAGCCCGUGCCAAGCACUAGGGCGAGAACCAAAACAAAACCAAAACUAGACCCAGCCAGUCGGUACAGAGCUCUAGCCCUUGCUCGCCUUCCCCUGUUAAGGAAAACAAAACUAAAGGGAUGAGCUGAAAGCUCAGUGAGGUUCCGAACAUAGAAUCAAGCCAUAAAUCAAACAAUAAGUCAAGAAACAUUUACAACAUUUACAAUAGUCACACAUGAAAAGGAUACGUUCGUUCAUUCAUUCGUUCAUUCGUUCGUUCUCCUGUCAUUCCCCUUAUUCCUUCAUUCGUUUGAAAAUGCAUUGUUCAUUUAUCAAUAAAACCCUCGUUCAUUCGUUCGUUCGUUCAUUUCAUUCAACCCUUCCUGGGCAUUGGCCAGGCUCCACCAACCUUCACCAACCUACAAGGUAAUACUCGAGUAUACCAAACGUUCACCCAGGUCACCAAAUCGUCCGAUCGAGUCCGCUUCUGGCUCGAGUCGAUCGGUAACAAGGGGCAGGGCCCAGUUCAGCCAAAAGGCUUACAUUCAUGCACAAGUACGUUCCAAUCAUUCAAUCUUUGAAAAUUUCACAUUUAUUUAGGUCGAGUGCGAUAAAGUACACACUCGCCUAGAAAACUCGUUUUGGAAAUCAUUGAAAGCACUUAACACGUUAUCAAACAAUAAUACAAGUCAUGAAGUCAAGGAAAUAUAACAAACAAGGAACACUCACCGAAUUAUGCAAAAUAACGUCCAAAAUGUCCUAUCGAAUCUUACCCUCGGUCACCGAGAAAACCUAUGAUUCAACGAGAAAGAAUAUUACAAUUCAUCUAGCAAAACAAGUAAGUGGAAUCAAGGAACUCGACUAGUUAUGAGUAAAACGGAUAAAGGUGACUUUAAAGUGAAAAUAAAGCCAUUUGGAUCUGUGGACGGAAACAACUAGGGUGUCAUAAACCAAACUCAAAGGGUUAUAACAGUUCCAAUGGAAAACACUUGAAUCAAAGUCAAGUCGGAAUCCAACCAGAUAGGCUCAGAAAUAUUAGUUUUCGGAAUCGUUUAUGUGGUUCAAAAUCAAUAUACAUUCAAGUAGGUAUUAUGGCCUACAUGUCUUGACUGAGAAAACCUUAGGUCAUACCUCGAUCUUUUGGUAUGAAGUAGUAAAUAAACAUUUGAAGGUUCAAAUGGAAAAGGUAUCAUGUUUUAAGAUGGAAAACGGGCAUAGUAUUUGCCAAACGAAAAUAUACAAGUUCAAAUAGAAGCUUAGCCCUUGAGCGAAAAUUUGGGCAGCACGCCCUUUGUAUUUUCCUAUUUCCAGCCAUUUAUGACUUCAUUAUUUUUCUUAUUCAAACCCAAAGGUACACACACAACAAUUUAAUUUCAAUAGCCGUUCAGUAAGCUCCAAGUAGUACCAGUAUAAAUGUAUUCCGUCGAGACUAUGAUUUUAUGGUUCGGUAAACAUGUUCUCACCUUAGUAGGUUCCGAUUGUUCGUUUUCUUUGGGUCCUAUCGCGCGUACUAUAUUGGAUUUGUGUGAAUCGACUCUGUAGUCCUGGCGAGAGCUAUGUAGGCGUUCCGCCGAACCCUUUGGUUCGCCUUAGGGUGAGGUGGGGCUGUCACAGAGUCACCUGCCCAGCUCUCGCUAGAACUCACUCACGCGUAACUCGAGAAAGAUAUCGCGUCCGUAGAGAAGAAACGAAACAACAAUCUCAAACUUUACAUAUACAUUGAUGUUCAAAUCCAGCUCCAAGGUUUAUACACGCCCAAAACGUUAAAGUAUUACAACCCAAGUACCCUAGUCAGGUGUUAGCGCGAGUACAAUAGCAAAAUCAAAAAAACUAGACUACGCUAGUCUGUACAAGUCUCACGCCUCGUUCGUACCCCCUGUAAGGAAAACAAAUGGAGUGGAAUGAGCUAAAAGCCCAGUGAGGUUCCAAAUAGCAAGUUGACCAUUAAUUAAAGGUACACGUAUCAACGUAGCAAAAGAUAGCGAGCCUAACAAGUUCAUAAAAGUGAACAGUAACACUUCAAGUAGCAAACUUCAAAAUGAACGAGUGUAAAGUGCUUUUGGUUUUCAAAAGAAACAAUAAUCCAAUAAGCAAUAAUCAUUUCCAAGUAUAAGGAUACGGAUGGCUCUUAGGAGCCAAAUUCCCAUUGCUUCACCAGAGUUUGAUCAAAUAUUAGUUGGCACUCCGUAAACUUUCAAGUAAAGUAACCAAUCCAGUAGUACUUCGCUUAACUCCAAUCUGUCCACCAUUCAACCCCCUUACCGGGCCCGCACACCAACUAAACACUGGUGGUAAUACUCGAGUAUACCGAUUAGUCGAGGAGAUAACACUCCACUCGACAACACUAGAUACCCAUGGUUCGUUAUCUAAUCGACCAAGCCCUUGCCGGCUCGAUGAGAUACAUCUCCAAUCAACUGAAUCAAGAUAAAAGUACGGAGACGGGAAUGAGAGGUACCUCCCACUCGGAUCGAGUGUGGUACAUACUGCCGCUCAGUACUUACAAGUCAUGCACAGGUAUCUCAAAUCAAUUGCAAUAAUAAACAAGUACAUAUCACAUUAGGGCAAGUGCGAUAAAGUACACCCUUGUCCGAUCAUACCAAUCACAUAUCAUUCGAUCAUAUUGGUCAAGUAUUGAAAACUAGUGUCCAGUUCAAUCAGGUAUUUGGAAGCACUCACCAAACUCAAAUGUCACGUUCAGGUCCAACUCCUUGGUUGGAGUCCAAUUCUGCAAUAAAAUAUCAUUUAUGAAGGUAAAACUCUCUAGAGUUCGAAACAUAGGAGUUUCGCUUCAAGAAAAUCAAGUAAAUGCAACUCGUUUCAGUAGUAUUCAGAUACUUAUCAAAUCCCGAAAAAUUUAUGCUCGCUCGUUUAGUUUCGGUAAGGAAGCGGUUAAAACUUUAGAACUCCCAUUGGAGUCGAAAGAACGAGGAAAACGUAUUUCUAGUAAUCGUUAUUUCAUUUCCCAAGGGAACAAGUUCGGCCAAGUUCUAACUUAUAUACCUUGAUAAAAGAAGACGCGAUAGCCUAGAUGGUUCAAGUGGUAUUCACUUUCAAGCCUUGCUCAAGUCGCAAGUAUAUCUACCUAGCCCUCGAGCGUAAAUUUGGGCAGCACGCCCUUUGUAUUUACCUAUUAUCCAGCCAUUUAUGGCUUCAUUCUUUUCCUCAAUCAGUCCCAAAGUCACACACAAAAUAAUCUCAUUCCAAUAGCCGUUCAAUACGCUCAAAAUCAUACAAGUACAAAAUCAAGCUAGAAAUAUGUCCGAAAAUGAAGUUUAAGUCAUAAAACAAAAGACAGAUUUGUCGUCGCUUAGCGUAACGGACACAACCAAAGCUACACUUAUCAUAUUGGGGUACAAUAUAUACCGUUUCGAAGCUAAGAUAAAGGGAUACAACUUUGAUGAAGGCCACUCAGUCCAGUUCGUGGUGUAUCCAAGUCAAAAUUUCAAUUUACAGAACCAAAAUCUCACAAUCAGUCUAGUUAACCGUACUAUACGUAAACGACAAUAACUCAGGCUACCGAAGUUCGAUUGAGGCAUUUCCAGGGCCGUUGGAAAUUUACGACAUAGCACUAUAACUUCUAUAUUUUGGCCAAAUGCUAAUUCAAUAUGGAUCAGGGUGAACAGACGCGGUCAGAUUGGUAAACUGUCAAAACUGGCACAGAGCUCUACCUAUGACAGUCAGGGGUAUUUUUGUCUUUUCAUUUGAUACAGUGCUCGGAUUUAGAUGAAAUUUUACAAGAAGCUAUAAAAUAUAAUUCCAUACAACUUUCAUGUUUUGUGCUAAGCCUAAUUCGGCCUCCAUCAUGGUCGAACAGAACCGGGCAGAACAGGGUAUCUUCAAAACUGAAAACCGGAAUUCAUGCAGUCCAAUGCUAAUUUUCUUAUUUCGGGCUUGAUUUACUACCUCAACUUCCUAUACAAACCCACAAAAAUGAUAUAUAAACCAUCAUUAACCCUUAUUAGCAUCUUACAACAUCACAAUCUGUGACGGCCCCACCUCCCCCUAGGGCGUACCCCAGGGUUCGGCGGACCGCCUGCCCAGCUCUCGCGGGGACUCAGUCGCUCACUACAGUCCUCAAAUAAAUUACAAGAUAAAUCUCAAAUAUACAUCACAUGGUCCACAAAUAUACAUCCAAGUCUCCAAUAAUUACAUGUCAUAAGCGAAGCGGAAACAAUUCCAAAUAAGCCAUCCAGUCACGUGAAUAAGUACUACAAGCCCUUCCUUCGCCUUGAGCCCUGUGGAGGGGAAUAAAAUCGUUUUGGGGUGAGCUAGAAACUCAGCGAGUAACCAGUAAAAUCAGUAAUCAAAUCGGUUUCACAAUAGUUCAUUUCAAUGAUGUCAUAUAUCAAACGAUAAGUCAAGAAACAAUUACAACAUUUACAAGAAACCAUACAUGAAAAGGAUACGUUCGUUCGUUCAUUCGUUCAUUCGUUCGUUCUCCUGUCAUUCCCCUUUCCUUCAUUCAUUUGAAAAUGCAUUUUUCAUUUAUCAAUAAAACCCUCGUUCGUUCGUUCGUUCAUUCAAUCUUUCCUGGACAUCGGCCAGGCUCCACCAACCUCCACCAACCUACAAGGUAAUACUCGAGUAUACCAAACGUUCACCCAGGUCACCAUAUCACCCGACCGAGUCCGCUUCUGGCUCGAGUCGAUCGGUAACAAGGGGCAGUGGCCAGUUCAGCCAAAAAGGCUUACAUUCAUGCACAAGUAACGUUCCAAUCAUUCAAUCUUUGAAAAUUUCACAUUUAUUUAGGUCGGGUGCGAUAAAGUACACACCCGCCCAGAAAACUCGUUUUGGAAAUCAUUGAAAGCACUUAACACGUUAUCAAACAAUAAUACGAGUCAUGAAGUCAAGAAAAUAUAGCAAACAAGGAACACUCACAUACAAGCACGCAUGAUAUGCAAUCGAGUAAAUAAUGCAAGAAAACAGUUCAAAAGUAACUUUGGAAACAAUUUAGGGUCACUCACCUCCAUAGCUCGGAAACCAUCCAUCAUAUAUCAUUGCCUUGCUCAAAUCCAAGUCUUAGAUCACAAACUCAGUGCAAUCAAGUCCUUUCAAAGCUCGGACAGCAUUUCCAUUAAAUUUGCUAACUUUUCCAGCCAUCAUGGCUUCAUUUUUUCCUCAUUCAAACCUAAAGGUACACACACAACAAUAAGUUCAUUCAAUAUCCAUUCAGCAAGCUCCCAGCAGUACAAGUACAAUUCAAGCUAGGGAAAAGUCUGGAAAUGAAAGUUAAGCUCAAAACCAGAAAAACAGUUUUUGACAUCAUUUUGCGGUUUUGGCACCAAUGGCACUACGAUUAUCGGAUGGAGGUAAAAGAUACACCGUUUCGAAGCUAAGAGAUAGGGUUACAAUAUUUCAGAAGGUCACUCAGCCCAGUUUCAAGUGUAACCAGGUCAAAAAUGCAAUAUACUACACCAAAACCGCAAAAACAGAUUCACAAAUUGCAUUCUGGUGCAAACAUCAUAAAUCAGACUACCUAAAUCCAAAUCCAGUAAUUCCAAAGCCAAACGAAAGCUAAGAAACAGGGAUACAAUUCAUCAGAAGACAUCAACAACCAAUUCCGAAGCAUUCCCAACCAACAUAACCCAUUACAGAAGCAAUUCUCAAAUUCGGGUAGAAACAGGGCAGCAAGGGUAAUUCCGUCUUUUCACAAGCUACGCUGCUCCGAUUGACCUGAAAUUUUGUAGGAACCUCUAAAAUAUCAUUCCAUACAACUUUCAUGUUUUAACACAAGGUCAAUUCGGCCUCUAACUAUGAGCUACAAAACCGGGCAGAAUGUAGGAACAUAAACCCUAGUUUUCCAAUUUUCCUUCCAAAACAGAAAUUUCUUCCAAUUAACCACCAAAUACACCUUCUAGCUUCAUUCUAUAUCAUUUCCAAUCAUCAUACAUAGCCACACCAUAACAAUCAUAUGAAAUCAGAAAAAUUCAUGAACAAAAGAAAAAUCCAUCAAUCUCACCCAUAGGUCAUGAAAUCAUCCAUAAAAUGACAUGCUCUACCAUUAGAAAUCCUUAAUUGAUCAUUAUUAGCAUGAGAGGGAAGAUAUUUAACACCUCACCUUUGCAACUCCAAAAAACAAGACAACUAGAGCUUGUUCUUCACAAAUGGCUCCACUCAACACCUUAAACUAGCUUAGCAACUCAUUUUUGUGGAGAAAUUUGGAAUUUAAUCGGUAGGUUUGCAAGAUUCAAGCUAGAAAUGAAGGAAAAUUGAAGAAACUCUCUCUCUCUUUAUCUCCUCCAUGGCCGGCCAAGAGCAAGGGAAAAUGAAGCUCAUUUUGGUCAAUUUUUGGUAUUUAGUAAAGUUGGUGAAUACUGGUCAAAACCAAGGUCCAAUGAAAACGCGACACCUAGCAUCUCUUUUGGCUUAUAAUUAUCCUUUAGUCUCUCCACUCUCAUCCAUAUAACAACCUCUAAUUAUCUCUUAGCACCUGGUAAAAUAAAUCCGGUAUCCAAAACUUAACCUAACUGGCCGAAUUUUACCGAACUUUCCGCACUAGUGGGUCCCACGUCUGAUAUAUGUUCUUAAUUUCUCAAAAACUAACUGAUACUAGAAAAAUCAUCUAAAAACUAUAUUUACUCAAUAAAAUUAUCUAGGGAAUUUUCUAAUAAAGAAAAUGUCGAAAAGGCGGGCGAACAAUAAAAUAAACCCUAGAAACUUAGAAAAUUUUCGGGUUCUCGCACUCAUUCUUUUCGGGGCGUCACACAAUCACCAUUUCUACUCAAUUGCUACAAGCUUUUACAAGAGUUCAAGGCUGCUUUACCUUCCAAGGGUUGGUUCACAAGGUUGCACUUCAAGAACCAAGUUCCUUAGCUUUCUUUUGCUCUAACUCCCAAGCUUGUUGGAUGAGUUGCCACAACCAGAAUUUUUCUUGUUCUUCCUCUUAGUUUCUCUCGAUUUUUUCUUCCUUCUUUUCUCCCAAAAGCUGGCCGAAAGUUUCCUUGUUUGUUUGGCUUUUGUCUUGCUAAGUUAGAUUAAUACUAAGUCACUUGGUCAAAGUCCAACUACUUUUUUGAUUAGUCAAUCAAAAUUUAGCUUAGGAAUCUCAUGGAACCUUUAGGAAGUCUAGCAACUUGUGAUUAACCAAAAGUCACACUAUGGCCCAAUUAAAUUCACAAUCCUACCAAUUUACUCCACAAUUUACAUACUUGAUAUAUUCCAAAAACCUAAUUACACCUCAAUUACUUCACUAAUCACCCAAUCACUAUAAUUACCUAUAAUAAAAUAUGCAUUAUCAUACAUAAACUCAAUUACAUAAUAACCUUUUAGUCACAAGUAAAACUAGGGUUUUGAUUUAAAUUUAAAGUGUCAAAAAAAAAACAACUAAAGUGUCCAAAAAAAACAAUGUUUUUAAAACAAAACAAAAUAAAUAAAUAAAAAUUUUAAAAGAACGAGUGAAAAACAUUGUCCUAAAAUUCGGAGUAUCACAAUCUCCCCUCCUUCAAAGAAUUUCGUCCUCGAAAUUCCAACAGGUACUAAUCCAGUCAAAAUAGUCCUCCAAAGUCAGUCAAGUACUAAAAAUCAGUCCAAUCCCUUAUAUAUGAUCUUAUCACUUAGUAAAGAGCCAAUAGAUAGCUAAACAAGUAACCAAAUAGAACAUGCAAAAGGGUUUGGUUCAAACAACUGGCCCUGAGUGAAAAUAAAGUCUCAGAUAUUCGAAAAUUUCAGAACAUGGCUUAGCCUCAAGUCAAAAAUUUCUCAGGUCAGAAAUUUUACCCCUGGCGGUGCUGCACAACACAACAAGCUAGCACAACGGCUAUACUUCACCAGUGAGUCUCAGUUCAAGAAGUUCAUCCCUGGCGGUGCUUGAAAACACAACAGGCAAUGCCGCACCAGAGAGGUUCAGUUCAACCGCUACAGAGGAGUAGUAGCCGGUCUACAACCACACGAGUACGAAUAAGUUCAAAAGCAAGGUCAAAGCAGGGUUCAAACAUAUAAGUUCAAAAGUAGAGUCAAUUACUUCAAGUUCAAAGAGCACGAGUACGAAUAAGAACUCACUCGGCUAGCCUAUACCCAGCAAUUCACAUUCUCAAACAGUCACCGAAUUCAAGUCCACAUAUAGGUCAUAUUACUCAUGCGUAAAGUCAAAUCAGGUCCAUUACGUGUACGUAAGAGCACACUCGCCAAAACAAGUUCAAGUCUCAAAUGAGCGUAGCCUAGUCGGUCUCAGGCAAUUCAAGUAUUUCCAAUCCCUUUGAUCAGUCCAAUGACUAGGUUAAAUGUUAGAAUCAUCCACGCCUUAACCUUUGCCAUCAAAACUCACCUCAAGUGCAAUCAAGAUACAGACCCUUAUUCUAGCGCUCUCCACUAUUUGGUACCCAAGUAUAAGAAUCCACAAUAAGACAAUUCACAACUCGAGCCGGCCGGUCCUAAGAGUAAAUCACCCAUAUUAAAGAUUCCUACCUGACAUACCUAACUAUUGUCCCCAAAGUACCAUGAGAAAGGUUUAAACCUAGAACGUUUCAUGAUUCGUAACUUAUGCUCAAAAGAGUCCUUAAUCCUGUACAUCCAUUCACGAAAUUAGGACCAUAACACCACUUGGCCCAAGCUCACCCCGCGCAGAGACCACACGAAGUGGCUCUGAUACCAUCUGUGAUGGCCCCACCUCCCCCUAGGAUGUACCCCAGGGUUUGGAGGGUCGCCUGCCCAGCUCUCGCCAGGACUCGCUCACGCGUAACUCGAGAAAGAUACCGCGUCCAUAGAGAAGAAACGAAACAACAAUCUCAAACUUUACAUAUACAUUGAUGUUCAAAUCCAGGUCCAAGGUUUAUUGUGACGACCCCGCUUCUCCCAAGGGCGAACCCUAGGGUAUCGGCGGGACGCCUGCCUAGCUCGCGCCAGGACUCGAAAUUUCAAAACAAUAAAACUAGAUAAGCCCAAAAGCAUACCAUUCACAAUAUAUCCAACUCCAAAAGAGUUCUAUUUACAUCCUCAAAAGUAUCCAGUCAAACCACUAUAAUACAUUAUGAUAACAACCAGCAGGAAGUAGACCCUAAGGAGGGUCCUCAUACAAACCACCAAAACAAAAACAAACAUCUUAAUUGUCCAACUAUUACAAACUAAACCUAACUAUACUAGUGAAUGUGCCAAGGAGUUCCCCGCAUCGCCCCCUGCUAAGGAAAACAAAGGAAACGGGGUAAGCUAUAUGCUUAGUAAGUAACCAGGGGUAAAAUCAUAAAUUGCACAUUUAGAUAAACAACUAUUUCACAAAAAUGUCCAGUCAAGUGCAAAAGUAACAAUACAAAUGAAGGAUACAGGUUGGCUCCAAAGCCAAGUCAUUUGCCAUGCGUGACCUCCUGCUGACACUCCGUCGACCACAAAUAAGGUCCGUAGAACUCCACUUGCACACCCACCUAACACCUUAUCACCCUCACUGGCCAGUCACCUCAUAAACUUGCUCGAGCGAACGAAAUUGAGCUUGGUUCACAAGCUCGGUUCACAAACUUGGUUCACAACUUGAACCUACAAACUUGGUUCACAUUCUCGGUGAACCGGAUUCACAAACUUGGUGACCUCAGACUAGGUUGGACUGGCUUCGACCAAGCCCUGACCGACUCGAAUAGUCCAUCUAGGUCGGAAGAUCAACCCCAACUUACAAACGUCACCCCGAGCUACAAGCUCAAGGGGUUCAAACCCAAAAAUAAUUCAUGUAUACACAUCUCAUAAAGAAACAUAGGUACAAACUAGGGUUUAGGUCGAGUGUGAUAAAGUACACCCUCGCCUAAGUCCCCCUUUUAUUCACAUCAAAACACAUAAGCAGUUUAUACACAUAAACGGCCUGAAUACUUACUCCAAAAGUACGUAUAGCAAAAAUGCAAGGAUCACGUCACGUAUACAGCUAGUAGGCCCCACCGCCACCGUCUAGCCCGUCACCGUCUGAAAUAAAAGAUUGCAUCACAAUAUAUCACAAAUGGCUACUAACAUGCAUAACUCAAGUAAAACGGCAAAAUCGGCACAUGCAAGUGCGGAAACGGCAAAAUGGACACACGCGCGCGCGGAAACGGCAAACGGAAACGGCCAGAUUUGGCACCUAAAACCGUUUUGAUCAAAUUUCAGGUUACGGUUAUCGGAUCGAAGUGCAUGAGGUACUGUUACGAAGCUAAAAAGAAGGGCUACAACUUUCAUAAAGGCACCUCAAGUCAGAUCUCAAUGGAACUAGGACAAAAAUGUGCAAAACUGUUCCAGCCAUUUCAUUUCGGGUUAUCAAACAGGUCCUGUUUGAAAGACCGUAACUCACGACUCAGAAAUCGGAAUCAAGAAAUUCUAGAGGCGUUAGAAAGAUCAUUCAUAAGCUGUAACUUUCAUGUUUUGACCAAAAGCUGAAUCAAUACAGAGCAUGGGGAAAAAUAGGUCCAAACGUUCCUGUCAGAACUGUCCAAAUCCGAAGGCAGUUAUGACAAUCGAUCUUGUUUUGGUCAUAACUGAAGCUACGGAACUCAGAUUUGGAUGUAAUUUAUACCGUUUCGAAGCUAAAACCAAGAUCUAUAUUUCUUAUGAAGGGAUCUGCACCCAGUUCGCAUGUUAUCAAGACGGACAGAACAUGGUCAGAAGCAAAAUUCAAAAACGUAACACAAUCUAGUGUACAAAACAGGUGCAAGUGUUUUGGCUAUAACUCGGGCUACACUGAUCUGUUUGACCUGAAAUUUUGUAGGUACACAAAGGACUCCAAAAGCUACAACUUUCAUGUUUUAGGAAAGCCUUGAAUCCGUGUGGACCAUACAGAAACAAUGGGGUCAAAACCGAAAUUCUGGGCUGCCCUGUUUUUCUGAUUUGAAUGGUUUAGCGCGCUUCGAACGCAUGAUCCAUUUUUUUUUUGUGUUUAUCAUGCAAGAUUUCCAGUCAAAUGAACACCAAAAACACACCCUUGAACCAUCUCUUAUGUAGCCUUCUAACGCUCCAAAAUUGCACCAAUAAAUUCUCUAAAAUUAACCAAACACUAACUACGCUUUCUAACUUAACUUCACAUGUACCUAUUAACUUAAUCUAACCAUUAGUGCAUCAAACCCCAACCAAGCUAAUCCUAACCAAACUAAUACUCCUUUCUCUAGCCUAGGGUUUCUUAACCCAAAUCAGUUUUUACCAUCCACUCACCAAACAAAUAAAACAAAUCAUCAAACACAACCAUUACAAUCUUCAUAACACAAAAGUUAGAGCUAACUAACUUGUUUAGCAUGAAACCCUAAUUAGGGCUCCUAUGGCCGAAUCAUCAAGGCCCAAAUUUAACCAAAUUACUCCAUAAAAACAAGUGAUAAACACAAGUGAAACCAUAAUCAAUCACAACUAACAACUAUUAUCAUCAUUUCCACCAUUUCAAGUAUCAUCAACCACCUUUAACUUUGUAUAGAAGCUUUCUUACCUCAAGAUGAAGGUUGUAUGAUGGCUAAGAAACUCAAGCUAGCUCCAAGAUGGACUCUUUAUGCCUCAAGAUGAAAAUCUAUGGAAGAAAUUUGGUUGAACUUAGCAAAAUUCCCCUUGGUUUCUUCUUCUCCCUCUCACGGCUCCAACUCUCUCUCUCUUCCUCUUGUUUGUUUGUUUUGUUUUGUCAUACAAUGACUUAGUUGUGUUUCGUAUGACUUAAUAUGUGGUGCAAACCCACUUAGGAGAGAUAUUUAUUAGCCAACCAAUCACACAAAAGGACUUUAUUUGCUUCUUAGCCCUUGUACUUCAAUUUAACUUUUGUUCCACUCUUGCCCUUAAACCUUUACUUUUCUAUCAAUUUACUCCAUAAGUUGUAAACUUAAUCUAAUCCAAACUUAUUAAUCUUCUUAGUUUCUCUACUAAUCACCCUACCAACUUAAUCACCUAUACUUAAACAUACUUUAUCCCACAUAAAAGCAAUUAAACCAUAACCUUUUUGUCAAGGGCAAAAUUAGGGUUUAAACCCAACUUAAAACUUCUAAUCAAUCUUAACACUAGAGGUUUUACUCAUUUAGGGUUUCUAACCUUCUUAAACUUAUUUAACCUAUAUAAAAUGGAUCAAAUCCUAUACUUACCCACACUAAAACACACACUAACAUAACUAACUUUAACCACCACUCGAACUUAUGAUUAAUAGAAAAACUAGGGUUUCAAUCCUAACCCCAACUUAGGGUUUUCGAAUUAGUCCCAAAACUUAAUGUUACCACACAAAUAAUGAAUAUAACCUAAUAUCAAACUUAAAAACUGACCGGGGUCUCACACUCAUUCUUUCGGGGCGUCACAUUUAUACACACCCAAAACGUUAAAGUAUUACAACCCAAGUAAAAUCAACCCUAGUCGGGUGUUAGCACGAGUACAAUAGCAAAAUAAGAAAAACUAGACUACGCUAGUCUGUACAAGUCUCACGCCUCGUUCGUACCCCCUGUAAGGAAAACAAAUGGAGUGGAAUGAGCUAAAAGCCCAGUGAGGUUCCAAAUAGCAAGUUGACCAUUAUUUAAAGGUACACGUAUCAACGUAGCAAAAGAUAGCGAGCCUAACAAGUUCAUAAAAGUGAACAAUAACACUUCAAGUAGCAAACUUCAAAAUGAACGAGUGUAAAGUGCUUUUGGUUUUCAAAAGAAACAAUAAUCCUAUAAGCAAUAAUCAUUUCCAAGUAUAAGGAUACGGAUGGCUCUCAGGAGCCAAGUUCCCAUUGCUUCACCAGAGCUUGAUCAAAUAUUAGUUGACACUUCGUCAACUUUCAAGUAAAGUAACCAAUCCAGUAGUACUUCGCUUAACUCCAAUCCGUCCACCAUUCAACCCCCUUACCGGGCCCGCACACCAACUAAACACUGGUGGUGAUACUCGAGUAUAUCGAUUAGUCAAGGAGAUAACACUCCACUCGACAACACUAGAUACCCAUGGUUUGUUAUCUAAUCGACCAAACCCUUGCCGACUCGACUCGAUUAACUAGCCAGUGGGGUUUGGGUCCCCAAGAAGUUGAUGAGAUAUAUCUCCAAUCAACUGAGUUACUGUCGUUUAAUCAUAGUGCGGUUAACUAGUCUGAUUGUGAGAUGCUGGUUCUGUAAUUUGAAAUUUUGAUUUGGAUACACUAUGAACUAGACUGAGUGAUCUUCAUCAAAGUUGUAGGCCUUUAUCUUAGCUUCGAAACAGUAUAAAUUGCACCUCAAUCCGAUAAGCGUAGCUCUGGUUGUGACCGAUACGCUAGGAGACGUCAAACCUGCUAUUUAGCUUUUGUCCUUAAAAAUUGAUUUCAAGUUGCAUUCCUAGACUUGCUUUGUAUUUGGAUGAACUUGAGCCUAGUUGACAGGGUAUUUUAUUGAGAUUUCUUAUGUGUUGAAUUGGACUGAGUUGAGGAAAAACAAUGAAGCCAUAAAUGGCUGCAAAUUAGGUAAAUACAGAGGGCAUGCUGCCCAAAAUUUUAGGGCUACGCGAUUCCUUCAAGUUGAGUUGAUCUUGGUAAAAAUGAAGGGGUUUUGGGAGUUGUUUGUAACCCUAGGACCAACUGUUAUCUUUUUGCUCAAAAGUCAUAUUUUAUUCUUUUGUACUAGUACUCAACCUGGGAAGGUAUACGACUUGUAGUCGAGCCUCAUUGAUGCAUUCCAUUUACUGGGUUCGUGGAUGUGCGAACUAUAAUUGUUUUAUCUUGGUUAUUUUAGGGUUUCUGGGCGAUUAAAGCCACUUUGGGUAAAAACUUUUGAAGUAUCUGUACUGGAACCGGUGAGUGUACCACUCCCCUGAAUUAUUGCUAAAAUGGUUAUCAGUACUUGCAAAUUGCUAUUUGAAUGUCUUUAUCGACUGUUUAUUCUGUACGAGACGAGUGUGUACUUUAUCACACUCGUUCUCUGGCCUGUAUAUACUUGAAUCUGUUACCUGCGCCUGUUAUAAUGUCGUUUGCAAGUGCAUCCAACGACCUUCCUGUUAAAUCUGAACUCAACCUCAUGGGGAGUCAAUUGGAUCGAGCCAGCAAGGGCUUGGUCGAGAAAAUUUGGCAAUCCAUGGGUGCCUGUUCCUGGGAAAUCUUUGGGUAUUGGAGACUCUAAAUUUCCGGUAUACUCGAGUAUUACCAUUCCUGUUCCUGUUUGGCGUUCGGGCCCGGUAAGGGGUAUGUUUGAUGGACGGGAUUUGGCGUUAAAGUGGUGUUCUACUGGACUGGUUCCUUUAGUUGAAUGUUGACAGAGGGUCAACUAGGUUGGAUCAAGUAUUGCAACGGGGAUUUGGCUCUUGAGAGCCACCUGUAUCCUUUAAAUUGUGGUGUUCAUUCAUUUCUCGUAUUUGAUGUGUAUAUGUGCCCUAAAAGUGUUUUCUCAUGAUUUCUACUGUUUAUACUUUUGGUACCUCAUUGAGCUUUUAGCUCACCCCGUCCCGUUAUCCCUGUUUUCCUUACAGGGAACCAUCUUUUGGAACUUUGAUGUUUUGAGGAAUGAGUUGAGCUAGUUAGAAACUCUUUUGUUUUUGGUAUAGCUCCUCGACAAUUUGGAAACCCUCAAUGUAUCUUAAUACGAUGUUUUCUUUUGAUUUGUAAACUUAAUAAUAUGUAUAUUUUAAAGUGUUUCCUCAUGUUUAUGUGGCAUAGUACUUGGGAAUGUACACUCUUUCAUGCUAAACAAAGUUUACUUGUGUUGGGUUGGACUAUGAUGUGGCAGCGGCAUUCCCAUUUCGUUUUGUUUUUCGUGGGAACGUUGUGCCAAAAAGUGAUUGUAUCUUAUAGUUCGACUCAAUUGGGUUCUGAAUGUUAUCUUCUCGAAGUUCUUCUGAACAUUUGGUAGGGUUUCCGUUCGUUCCAGAUCCGUAGUCCCGGCAAGAGUUGGGCAGGUGGUCCGCCGAACCCUUUGGUUCGCCUUAAGGGAAGGUGGGGCUGUCACAGGUGGUAUCAGAGCCGCUUCGCGUGGUCUCUGCGCGGAGUAAGCUUGGGCCAAGUGGUGUUAUGGUCCUGAUUUCGUGAAUGUGUCUAAGUGCUCGUUUGAGCAUAAGCUAUGAACAGUGCAUGUUAUAAGUGUAAAAAUCUUUAUCAUGGAACUUGAGGAAGAUAGAUAUGUAUGUCGAGUAGGAAUCUAUAAUAUGGAUGAUUUACUCUUGGGACCGGCCGGCUCGAGUUGUAAAUUAUCUUAUUGUGGAUUCUUGGACUUGAGUACCAAAUAGUGGAGAGCGCGAGAAUAAAGGUCUGUAUCUUGAUUGAACUUGGGGUAAGUCUGGAUGGCAAAGGCCAAGGCACGAAAGAUUUUACAUUGGACCUCGUAAUAAGAUUGAUCGAGGGGGUUUGAUAUGGAAGUGUUAUCAUGGACUACUCUUGUACUAGUCUGGCUCGGGUUUUCUCGAGGGUGGCUAGAUUGUAAGGGAAUUCGCACCUAAGACAUGUUCCCUUUUGCUAUGACCGUGAGGACUUGAUAAGUGUUUACUUGACUUUGAGUUAGUCUAGCUACAACUAUAGAGGUACUUUCUACCCCUCUUGUGAGAUUCGAUAACUGUAGUUUGGCUCUCGAUAAACUACCCUUGCCCUUGAUGUCAAAGUGUGGACCUGACUUGAUUAUUAUUGUGUCGAGAUCGAGAGUUUGGAAUUAGGUAUGGAAUUUGAGAGAAAGGAUAUACCUGUAUGCUUCUAAGUUUGAUUUUUCGUGGUUGGAUUGGGAGUGAGGGAACUUGACAGUUAUAUGGUUAAAGUCCCAAGUGUACUUGGUUACUUGUUUUGAUUUUUUCAAUUUGCUUGGCAGGCUAUCCCUUGAGUUUGAGCGAAUCGAUAAAAUGGCACAUUUGGCUGAUAUGUAUAAGGAGAUAGAGAUUCUUCGAAAGGAAGUAGAGUUCCAAAAGAGAUUAGCUGAGCACUGGGAAGGGCGAUGGAAAUAGGAGUAUUCGGAGAAAAUUGAGCUACUGCACAAGAACAUAGAGCUGAAAAAGAAAUACGAAGGGAUUCCGGAAGAGGUAUGAAGUAAGUUUGAGUUAGUGCCUUCGUCUAGUCAAAUGGCCUCUCAGGACAUUCCUAGUAAUAAAGAUGAAAGAGGUGAAGGAAGUGCUCGCGACAACAAAGGGAAACGUAAAGAGAUGGAUGGAAAUGGAGUUGCUAUGAGGGAUUAGGGGAGGAAGAAGGAAAAGAACGGACAUUUCUAGAAGAAAUGGGUGGCUGCUAAGUGUGAAACAUGUAACAAAACUCAUACGGGAAUAUGUUAUGUGAAAAUUGGUGCAUGCUUUUGAUGCGGCCAACUGGGACACCAAGUGAGGAACUGCCCAGAACAAAUGAAUUUUGGAAUGGUGAAGCUGUUGUAAUAGUUAAAGUCGGCAAGUAGUGAUGUGUUAGCUGAAAUAAUUGCAUUUAUGGAACUAUGUGUAUACAAUCCCUAUGUAAUGAGUGUAUUCUCGAUAAAAGUAGUAGAUCUAUACCUGAUAUUGUGAGUGUAUUCUCCCUAUGUCUUCACUGAUUUUCUUAGCAUAGCGUUUUAGUCCUAGCAUUGUUACGAUUUCUUUCUAGAUAGAUUGUGGUAUGAGAAGAAUUUCGAGGACGAAAUUCUUUUUAAGGGGGAGAGAGUGUGAGAACCCGAAAAUUUUUAUAUUUUCUAGACAUUAUUUUAUUUCCUUGUCUACAAUUUUAUACUUUCCUUCAAUAUAUUAACUUUAUAUACAUUUUUACAAGUGAAUAUCAUUUUUCAAAUCAUUUUCCUGGUAUGAGUUGGUUCAUAGUAAGUUUGAAGCGUAGCAUGGCUGUGGGGCCCGCUAGUGCGCUAAGUGCGAUAAAAUUUUGACAAUUAAUUGAAGUUUUGUAUUAAGAGAUAUUAUUUUACAAGGUGUUAGGAGAUAAUUAGAGGAUAGUUAUCUAGGUUAAGCUUGGUAGACAAAGGGAUAAGAAUAAACUUAAGAAGGGCCAAGUGUCGCGAUCCGAUUGGAAGUUGGACUUGCCUAACUUUCUUUACCUUUACUAAAAUCAAAUUUUGACCAAAUUUUUCUUCAUUUUCACCUUGCUUGGCCGAAAUUCUUGAGGGAGAAAAGAGAGGAAAAUACUUCAUCUUGCACUCCAAUUUCUUGGUUCAAUCUUGAGUUUUAACCGAUAGUUUUGGAAACUACACCAUCAAAGUUGCUUAUUAAGGAGGAUUAAAGCUUCUAGUGGAGAGAUUUGUGAAAGGAAAGCCCUAAGUUAUCAUCUUUCUUAAGGUGUCAAGGUACUUUGCUUACAACUUCCUCUUUGUUCAUGUUAAUGUCAAAUUAGUGGCUUUUGUGGCUAAAUAUGUUGAUUUGUAGUAGGUUUGAUGGUUGGAAGUGGAGUUUUGAUGGAUUUUUUAUUUCUUAUUGAUUUUUCUGUUUUUAUAUAGUAAUUAUUGUUUAGUCAUGGUUGAUGGUUUGUUAUAGUGUAAAAUGAAGUUGGUAUAUGCUGGAUAUGAUUGGUUGCGGAAAAUUUCUGGUUUGGUGCGGAAAUUCCAGUUUAGGGUUUCAAUUAACCCUGUUCUUCCUGGUUCUGUUUGACAAUGUUAGAGGCCUAAUCAGGCUUAGGUUAAAACAUGAAAUUUGUAGAAAAUUAUUUUAACUAGCUACCUACAAAAUUUAAACUCAAUCGGAGUACUGUAGCCCAUGAAAUGACCGAAAUACCCUUGACUACCCAUAAGCCCUGUUUCGCGGACAGUUUUCUAUCUUCGUGGAGAUUUCAAUUUUUGACUCUGAAAAUGCAUGGUUUAGCUUUAUAGGCCUUCAUAAUAAAUGUAGGUAUAUGUCUUGGCUUCGAAACUCCAUAAGAUACACCUCAAUCGGACUUCGGUAGCCUGAGUUAUUGUCGUUUAAUCAUAGUGCAGUUAACUAGUUUGAUUGUGAGAUGCUGGUUCUGUAAUUUGAAAUUUUAACUUGGAUACACUAUGAACUGGACUGAGUGAUCUUCAUCAAAGUUGUAGGCCUUUAUAUUAGCUUCGAAACAGUAUAAAUUACACCUCAAUCUGAUAAGCGUAGCUCUGGUUGUGACCGAUACGCUAGGAGACGUCAAACCUGCUGUUUAGCUUUUGUCCUUAAAAAUUGAUUUCAAGUUGCAUUCCUAGACUUGCUUUGUAUUUGGAUGAACUUGAUCCUAGUUGACGGGGUAUUUUAUUGAGAUUUCUUAUGUGUUGAAUUGGACUGAGUUGAGGAAAAACAAUAAAGCCAUAAAUGGCUACAAAUUAGGUAAAUACAGAGGGCAUGCUGCCCAAAAUUUUAGGGCUACGCGAUUCCUUCAAGUUGAGUUGAUCUUGGUAAAAAUGAAGGGAUUUUGGGAGUUGUUUGUAACCCUAGGACCAACUGUUAUCUUUUUGCUCAAAAGUCAUAUUUUAUUCUUUUGUACUAGUACUUAACCUGGGAAGGCAUACGACUUGUAGUCAAGCCUCAUUGAUGCAUUCCAUUUACUGGGUUCGUGGAUGUGCGAACUAUAAUUAUUUUAUCUUGGUUAUUUUAGGGUUUCUGGGCGAUUAAAGCCACUUUGGGUAAAAACUUUUGAAGUAUCUGUACUGGAACCGGUGAGUGUACCACUCCCCUGAAUUAUUGCUAAAAUGGUUAUCUGUACUUGCAAAUUGCUAUUUGAAUGUCUUUAUCGACUGUUUAUUCUGUACGAGGCGAGUGUGUACUUUAUCACACUCGUUCUCUGGCCUGUGUGACUUGUUUCCUGUAUAUACUUGAAUCUGUUACCUGCGCCUGUUAUAAUGUCGUUUGGAAGUGCAUCCAACGACCUUCCUGUUAAAUCUGAGCUCAACCUCAUGGGGAGUCAAUUGGAUCGAGCCAGCAAAGGCUUGGUCGAGAAAAUUUGGCAAUCCAUGGGUACCUGUUCCUGGGAAAUCUUUGGGUAUUGGAGACUCUAGAUUUUCGGUAUACUCGAGUAUUACCAUUCCUGUUCCUGUUUGGCAUUCGGGCCCGGUAAGGGGUAUGUUUGGUGGACGGGAUUUGGCGUUAAAGUGGUGUUCUACUGGACUGGUUCCUUUAGUUGAAUGUUGACGGAGGGUCAACUAGGUUGGAUCAAGUAUUGCAACGGGGAUUUGGCUCUUGAGAGCCACCUGUAUCCUUUAAAUUGUGGUGUUCAUUCAUUUCUCGUAUUUGAUGUGUAUAUGUGCCCUAAAAGUGUUUUCUUAUGAUUUCUACUGUUUAUACUUUUGGUACCUCAUUGAGCUUUUAGCUCACCCUGUCCCGUUAUCCUUGUUUUCCUUACAGGGAACCAUCUUUUGGAACUUUGAUGUUUUGAGGAAUGAGUUGAGCUAGUUAGAAACUCUUUUAUUUUUGGUAUAGCUCCUCGACAAUUUGGAAACCCUCAAUGUAUCUUAAUACGAUGUUUCCUUUUGAUUUGUAAACUUAAUAAUAUGUAUAUUUUAAAGUGUUUCCUCAUGUUUAUGUGGCAUAUGUACUUGGGAAUGUACACUCUUUCAUGCUAAACAAAGUUUACUUGUUUUGGGUUGGACUAUGAUGUGGCAGCGGCACUCCCAUUUCGUUUUGUUUUUCGUGGGAACGUUGUGCCAAAGAGUGAUUGUAUCUUAUAGUUUGGCUCAAUUGGGUUCUGAAUGUUAUCUUCUCGAAGUUCUUCUGAGCGUUUGGUAGGGUUUCCGUUCAUUCCAGAUCCGUAGUCCUGGCGAGAGUUGGGCAGGUAGUCCGCCGAACCCUUUGGUUCACCUUAGGGAAAGGUGGGGCGGUCACAAAUACCACUUGAACCAUCUAGGCUAUCAUGUCUUCUUUUAUCGAGGUAUAUAAGUUAGAACUUGGCCGAACUUGUACCCUUGGAAAAUGAAAUAACGACUACUAGAAAUACAUUUUCCUCGUUCUUUCGACUCCAAUGGGAGUUCUAAAGUUUUAACCGCUUCCUUACCGAAACUAAACGAGCGAGGUGUGAGACUUGUACAGAUUAGCAUAGUCUAGUUUUUUUUAUUUUGCUAUUGUACUCGCGCUAACACCCGACUAGGGUUGAUUUUACUUGGGUUGUAAUACUUUAACGUUUUGGGUGUGUAUAAACCUUGGAGCUGGAUUUGAACAUCAAUGUAUAUGUAAAGUUUGAGAUUGUUGUUUCGUUUCUUCUCUAUGGACGCGGUAUCUUUCUCGAGUUACGCGUGAGCGAGUCCUGGCCAGAGUUGGGCAGGCGACCCUCCAAACCCUGGGGUACAUCCUAGGGGGAGGUGGGGCCGUCAUAGAUGGUAUCAGAGCCACUUCGCGUGGUCUCUGCGCGGGGUGAGCUUGGGCCAAGUGGUGUUAUGGUCCUAAUUUCGUGAAUGGAUGUAAAGGAUUAAGGACUCUUUUGAGCAUAAGUUACGAAUCAUGAAACGUUCUAGGUUUAAACCUUUCUCAUGGUACUUUGGGGACAAUAGUUAGGUAUGUCAGGUAGGAAUCUCUAAUAUGGGUGAUUUACUCUUGGGACCGGCCGACACGAGUUGUGAAUUGUCUUAUUGUGGAUUCUUAUACUUGGGUACCAAAUAGUGGAGAGCACUAGAAUAAGGGUCUGUAUCUUGAUUGCACUUGAGGUGAGUUUUGAUGGCAAAGGUUAAGGCGUGGAUGAUUCUAACAUUUAACCUAGUCAUUGGACUGAUCAAAGGGAUUGGAAAUACUUGAAUUGCCUGAGACCGACUAGGCUGCGCUCAUUUGAGACUUGAACUAGUUUUGGCGAGUGUGCUCUUACGUACACGUAAUGGACCUGAUUUGACUUUACGCAUGAGUAAUGUGACCUAUAUGUGGACUUGAAUUCGGUGAAUGUUUGAGAAUGUGAAUUGCUGGGUAUAGGCUAGCCGAGUGAGUUCUUAUUCGUACUCGUGCUUUUUGAACUUAAAGUAAUUGACUCUGAUUUUGAACUUAUAUGUUUGAACCCUGCUUUGACCUUGCUUUUGAACUUAUUCGUACUCGUGUGGUUGCAGACCGGCUACUACUCCUCUGUAGCGGUUGAACUGAACCUCUCUGGUGAGGCAUUGCCUGUUGUGUUUUCAAGCACCCCCAGGGAUGAACUUCUUGAACUGAGACUCACUGGUGAAGUAUAGCCGUUGUGCUAGCUUGUUGUGUUGUCCAGCACCGCCAGGGGUAAAAUUUCCGACCUGAGAAAUUUUCGACUUGAGGCUAAGCCAUGUUCUGAAUUUUUCGAAUAUCUGAGACUUUAUUUUCACUCAGGGCCAGUUGUUUGAACCAAACCCUUUUGCAUGUUCUAUUUGGUUACUUGUUUAGCUAUCUAUUGGCUAUUUACUAAGUGAUAAGAUCAUAUAUAAGGGAUUGGAGUGAUUUUUAGUACUUGACUGACUUUGGAGGACUAUUUUGACUGGAUUAGUACCCGUUGGAAUUUCAAGGACGAAAUUCUUUGAAGGAGGGGAGAUUGUGAUACCCCAAAUUUUAGGACAAUAUUUUUCCCUCGUUCUUUUAAAAUUUGGGUUUAUUUCUUUUGUUUUGUUUUAAAAAACCCUAGUAUACGUGAUUUAAGAAAAAACGGGUUGAACCGACGGGUACCGUUUGUUACCGAGUGAGUGCACCAGUUGAACACUAUUUUAUUACCUUAAUUUCCUUGCUAUUAAUUGAUUAAUAUCAGCCCCAAAAUAUCCUCAAGGCAGCCGAAAUAUUGGACCAAAAAUAAGAGAGAAAAGAACAAAAUUUGACUACCAAUCAAAGUGUGACAUUUGUCACCUUUGACCCAAAUUCAUGUCUAUCAUUUUAACCUUCUUGAAGCUUCAUUUGAGCCUUCAUUUUCAGUCUAGCAGCCGUGAGAGAGAGAGGGAAAAACAAGAGAAAGAGAGCUUCAAUCCAUCUUGGGUUUUGCUUGAUUAAGUGAGAAAACAUGAAAACUAAACCGAUUAAACUUACCUUGUGGUGUUUGGCAAGUUUUGUGUGGAAAAAUAUUUGGAAGAAAGUGGUGUAUUUCUUACCUACAAGGGACCUUUGGAAGGUACCAUGGCUGCCUAUCCCUUUUCUCUUCUUUAAUCUUGUUAAAGUUUAGUUAGCAGCUCUUAAUCUUGCCAUAUGACGGUUAAUCGGUUAGUUUUGAUUGAUUUGUUGGAUAUGCAGCUAGGGUUUACAUUUUCAGCUUUGAUUAUAGUUAUCUACCUCUUAAUUGAUGUUAUUGAGCUGGUAGUUGAUGGUUUUGAUGAUAGAGUACUUGUUGGAUAUGAAUUUCUAGUGGAAAAGUUCAAAUUCCAGAAAUGAAACUCUUCACUACCCUUGAACCAUCUAGGCUAUCACGUCUUCUUUUAUCGAGGUAUAUAAGUUAGAACUUGGCCGAACUUGUACCCUUGGGAAAUGAAAUAACGACUACUAGAAAUACGUUUUACUCAUUCUUUCGACUCCAAUGGGAGUUCUAAAGUUUUAACCGUUUCCUUACCGAAACUAAACGAGCGAGGCGUGAGACUUGUACAGACUAGCGUAGUCUAGUUUUUUUGAUUUUACUAUUGUACUCGCGCUAACACCCGACUAGGGUUGAUUUUACUUGGAUUGUAAUACUUUAACGUUUUAGGCGUGUAUAAACCUUGGAGCUGGAUUUAAACAUCAAUGUGUAUGUAAAGUUUGAGAUUGUUGUUUCGUUUCUUCUCUAUGGACGCGGUAUCUUUCUCGAGUUACGCGUGAGUGAGUCCUAGCGAGAGCUGAGCAGGCGACCCUGCAAACCCUGGGGUACGCCCUAGUUGGAAGUGGGGCCGUCACAGUACUGACCAAUCGAGAAAGGGAGGCAUACCUGCUUGUAGACACGGACUUCGCCGUCUUCACUUAACCCUUGAAGUCGAUAGGGAUGCGGAUGUUUGGUUGUGGGCAGCCCUAAGCUCUCCACCAUGAUCAAACUUGCAACAUUAGUGCAACUUCCGCCAUCGAUGAUGAGACUGCAAACCUUGUCAUUUAUUUUACACCUAGUGUAAAACAAAUUUUCACGCUGUAAUUGCUCAUCCUCCUUAACACGGGCGGUUAGCGCUCUCCUCGUGACCAGGCAACCAAUUUCAGCCUGGAUCGGCGAACAUUCUUCCUCGGCUGAGUCACAUUCGCCUUCCUCCUUGGUCAAUCUAGGCAUCUCCUCACAAUCGUCAUCAUCAGAUACGACUUCUCCAUUGUGAGUGAUGAGCAUGACCCUUUGAUUCGGACAUUGAGAUUGCAUAUGUCCGAAUCCUUGGCAUUUGAAGCACUUAAUGUCCCUACUCCUAGGCUUAGGAGUCUCUUGAGCAGGCUUUGAAGUGGACCUAGAUGCAUCCACAAACUGGUUAGGGGUAGAAUCAGAAUUUUGUUUAGGGAAAUUACCUGUUGUUCGGUUGGAAGGGCUUGAUGUCGCCACAUUCCCAGCUUCAUUUGCGGCUCCCCUUGGUGGAUUCCCCUUCCACGCACUCGGAUGGGUGGUUUGGAAGGUUUGACCUCCCCUCCUCAAUUUCUUCCCCCUCUCGGUCUUGAUGGCUAGUUCAAGAAGAUCAUGUAUGUCCAGGUAAUGUUGAAGCUCCAAGGCUUCUUGAAGGUCAGGGUUUAAACCUCUAAGGAACCUUGCCAUAGUAGCUUCACUAUCUUCUUGAAUAUUUGCCCUCAUCAUGGCCAUCUCGAUCUCCUUGUAGUAGUCCUCCACACUCAUGUUGCCUUGAGUGAGGGUUUGUAGCUUAGAGUGGAGAUCGUAGUUGUAGUAGCUAGGAACAAAUCUCUUGCGCAUUAAUGCCUUGAGUUCUCGUCAAGUUCGGACUCGUGGUUCACCAUUUCUUCUCCUAUUAGUCCUUACUUAAUCCCACCAAACUAGUGCAUAGUCGGUGAACUCAACAGUGGCGACCUUCACCUUUUGUUCCUCGCUAUACUCGUAGCAAUCGAAGACCAUUUCAAUGCGGCCUUCCCAUUCCAAGUAAGCCUCAGGGUCACUUUUACCUUGGAACGUAGGAACUUGGAUUUUAAGUCCCUUAAGCUCGUUCUUAGAAGUGUCCCUCUUAGGCCUCUUGGCUCUUUCCUCAUCUUCACUAGCCGAGUAAUCUUCACUAUUUGCCCCUCUGGUGCCAUGGUUACUUCGGUUGUGAGAUUUAGAACGAGAGCCUCUUGUGAAGCUCUUGGAGAGUUCAUCAAAGCGAUUGUGCAUCUCCUCCAUUUGUUGCUCACUAAUCCGCUUAAGCUCAUUUUUCAUGGCGGUGAACAUCAAUGAGUAAUCGGUGGUUGGAUGAGUUUGCUCCAUGUCCCUUGACUUAUCGUGCAAACGUUAGUGAACAAGGAAAUAGAACAAAUAUAACCUUAUUUCACUCCCUUAGUGUUUCUCUCACCCUCAUAUUUUCACUCAAACACUUUAAUGAUCUUGCCAAAUUCCUUUACCUGUCGGAUUGGGUAGUUGAGAAAUGUCGUACAAAGUCUAACAAAUGUUACCAACAUUUUCCACAAGAGUAAUCAAGAAAGCAAGGCACAAAUGGAAUGCGAAAUGGCACAAGGAUGCACGAUUUUGGAGGCUUUCUAGUGGCGGACAGAAGAGGAAGCUAGCGCUAGUGUGAAAAGGAAACCAAGAAACCCUAGUUCCUAAAAUGGACUGUGUCCAAGUGGAGAUAAAAGAGUUACCCAAGCUGUUCACUUAGAUUCCUAAUUGCUUUUGGGAAACAAGUGAGUUUUUGGAAACCUUUAGAAAACCUUUUCUUGAACAACUUUUAGUAGCUUCCAAAUUUCUUUCCAAGAAGAAUUGUAAAUCAGAUUUGGUUCCAAUUUCUUCUCACGAAAAUUUAGAUUUCCUUCAAGUACACACACAAGUCGAUUGGAGAGAACUUUAUUUAAGUUCCACCACACAACCCUCCUCUUGCAAACACAAUACCAAAUCAGAAUUUCUAGUCAAGAACAAAUCAGUUUCGGAUCUUUCUCAAAACAAUGGAGAAUCAACAAGACGAUGCAAACAACCUUACUCGAGCUCCCCCCCAAUGGGUUACUCAAGAUGCCCCCAAGAAAGAGACAAGAACUCCAAGAAAACCCUUCACCACCGCUAGAGAAUACAAGAAGAUGUACUCUCGAAGGGUGAAACAAGUCCCCAAGAAGCAAGAUAUUCAAGAAUUUCAAGAAGUGGUGGAUCAAAACUUUUGAAUACUUUCCUUGGAUUUAAUUUUCUGUUUUGGAUUGGAAACAAGAUGUAAGCAAACUGAUUUGGCAAUAAUAAAAGGAUUCGACUUUUCUUUCUUGUUUGCUCUCUUGCCACCGGACUCCUCUUUCUUUCUUUUCUUUUCGAUUCUGUGUUUUUUUUUUAACUCAAACGAAUAACACACAACCUGGCCGAAUGGAAUAAAUUUCCAGAUUUUGGUCGGCCUCUUAUCUUCCCACAAUCAACGGUCAAAACUCCAAGAUCUUGCAAAAACUUACCAAGAAAUUAUCAAGAACUUCAAGAGCUUCAAGAUUGAUUUCAAGAAACUCAAGAAACCCUAGAUUCUUGUAGGUUUCUUUCAAGAUUCACAAACACCAAUAAGUUUUACCAAAAAUCAGAUUUGAAACACAAGUAAAACAACUUGGAUAGCACACGGUUAAACUUGGACAGAUUUGCACUAUGAAACCCUAGCGACACAAAGAAACCCUAGCCGUCACUAAGCGAAUUGCUUGCUGCCCAAACAACUCUUAACCGACACAGCAACUUUGUAGGCUCAAACAGAAUUUUUUUAUUCACCCCAAGUGCGCACAAACCACAGCCGAAUUGACACAAAACAACGGACAAGACCGCGAAUUGAUGAACAACUAGCGACUCAAUAACAGGAACAAGUUGCAGCCACAUGUGGAGAUUACACGGACAGCAUGCAAGACUCAAACACACGAACAGAAAUUGACGCGACAAGGAACAACAAAGAUGCGGACAGAUUUUUUUUUUUUUUUUAAAACAAGGCAGCGGAAACACAAAGAAUUUCUAGACGACAACAAAGACAAUACAACGGAUAUAACGGAAGAUAUCUCAACCUAUGCUCUGAAGCCAACUGAUACGCCCUCGAUCAACGCGUUUUGAGACACGUAGCACGUUUGUCCAAGGAUCUAGCGAGAUUGUCCCACAUUUGGUUUGCAGAACCCAAAACCAAGACAGACGACACGACUUGAUUGAAGAUGGUAGAACGACGACUCCAAACGAGGUGAAUACUCAAGUGGAUAGGUCGGAUGAACAAUCAAGGACAAUCACGAGAUUGCUCAAGAACCGUUGCCAAAGCAAGUAAUGGAUUCGAAUCUCUCAAUAAUUGAAGAGAAACACAAUAGAAUUUUAUUAUCAAAAGUGUCUAACCUUCAACCGUGCAAAGGGAGCCUUUUUAUAGGCUAGAAACCUAGGAGCCUAAUGCGGCCCAUCUACUUAAACUAGAAAAGAGAUUCGGUCCACUCUUGAACAUGGGUGGGCCGAUUAUUUGACUCCAAUGACUAAUAAACUAUUAAUUAAAACACGACUAACAAACCAACCAGCACCUAAGGACUCAAUAACAAUCAAACCAACUAACAAACUAACAACUAACAAUCGAUCAACUCAUUACGGACACGUGUGGCUAUCAUUCGAUGCCUCCUUGGCUUGGAUCAACGUGUAGGCAAGUCGGCUUGAAUCAAAGUGUAGACAACUUGAUUAACAUCCUUUAAGCCUUCAAUGUCUCUAUGAAAGCCUUGAGUCAAGGCUGCCAUCCGUGCACACAUCAGGUAGCCAAAUUGAUCUCCCUGUAGCAGUGUUCCAAAGUGAACUCAACAAUGGUCAAUACGUGUUGUAUUCGCCUUAAGACGACGUCCAUUCUCCAUGGUGAAGAUGAUGAAUGUUGAAUAGAGUUGAGCAACGACAUAGAAUCUACUUGCACAAUUACUUUUGUCAACCCCAGAGUUGUGCAUAGGUGAAGACCUUCCAAGAGAGCCAUUGCUUCCGUUUCCAUGUUUGUAUGAACCCUAUAGAAGGAGGAGAAAGCCCUCAUUGUUUGGCCAUGAUGAUCUCUUAUUAUGCCCCCUCCUCCAGAAUAUCCUGGGUUCCCAAUUGAAGAGCCGUCAACAUUUAGUUUAACGUAAAGGAAAGGUGGCAAGGACUAAGUUAAAAUAAGGCACUUUCUUGGCCGAGGUUGUCUGACAGAAGCGAGUAGUCCCGAAUACAGCAGGGCCAUAUCCACGAGUCCAGACAAAAUGUGUGACGACCCCACCUCUCCCUAGGACGAACCCAAGGGUUUGGCGGACCGCCUGCCCAACUCUUGCCAGGACUCACUUACUAGCAUUCUUGAAAAUGAUAAGGUUCUGAAAUCAACCAUAAUUCAACUUCAUUUACAAACCAAAAGUGAAACGUAGCUUUACAUUGCCAAAUAUCCCAAAUACAUUCAAUCCAUAAAAGUACAAGUACAAGAAACUUAUAUACACUAGUUCACGCUUACUUGCUCCAGCCUCCACUCCUGUAAGGAAAACAAACUAAUGGAAUGAUCUAAAAAUCCAGUGAGAUUCCCAAACAAGCAUUUAAGCAAGCAAAACACGGAAACAUUUACAUUUAACACUUUGCACACUUGGCACAGUAAUAAGCAGUCAUUCAAGAAUCAAUCAUUCAUUCAUUGAAAGGAUAUGUGCUCACUUGGAGCCAUUCAUUCAAAUCAUUCAUUCAUUCAUUCACCAACCAUUUUCCUUAUCCCUCUAACAUUAGAAAAUAUUUACAAGUGAAAACUCCUUUAGUAUUCUUGUCAUUUAUUCAUUGAUUUCAUUGCAUUGAAUUCACUGGCCAGUUCUCCACCAGACAUCGUGGUAAUACUCGAGUAUACCAAACAUUGUCCCAAGGUCACCAGCUGCCCGACCAAGUCCGCUUCUGGCUCGAGUCGACUGGCAACGAAGGGCAAGGGCCCAGUUCAGCCAAAAGGCUUACAUUCAUGCACAAGUAGCAUUCAAUCCUUGAAAAUUCACUUUUGCUUGGGUCGAGUGCGAUAAAGUACAUACUCGCCCAUCGAAAAUUCAUUUAGCAAUCAUUGGAAAGCAUUUAACAUUCCGGCAACAAGCACAACAUUUCAUAUAGUCAUUUAAAGCAUACACAUGCAAGGAACAUUCACCGAUAUUAGUAGAGUAAAUGUUAAAAGUGCGUCCCAGAGUUAUGCUCGUGCUCACCAACAAACCCUAAGAACAACCAAGAUAAAGAUAUUGUUGAUCUUAGUCCCUAGUUUUUGAUUUUACAAAACAAAUGGAUGAUACUAAUAUCUCUUCAAGAUAUACUUUCAGUUAUGAAGCAAAUCAGAUUCAAAGAUCAAGUGCAAUUGAAAGAAACAAAGGUUGCCGAAAGCUGUCGGAUGCUUGUGAAGACAGGAUCGGACGUCCGAUAAUCAUUGCGCAACUUCGGAAGCAUGAAGAACUCCAUCACCAGACUUCCGAAGGAAAUAAGACAUUCCCCCUAACUCACUGAUCUCAAUCGGACGAAAGCAUCGGACGUCCGAUAGAAUCUUUCAAACUCUUUGUCUGCUAUCGGACGGAAGUACCGGACAUCUGAUAGGAUCCUUCAAACUCGAUGAAAGCUGUCGAAUGCUCACAAAGACAAUACCGGACGUCCGAUAGAAUUGAAGAAGAUUUUUCAAAGUCAUUGCCUGCUGUUGGACGCAUGCUUCGGAUGUACCGGACGUCCGAUACUCCCAACGGUUAGUUGACUCUUCAGCUACUUUCUAUCCGUUGGAAGCAUUAAUGAAGCACUUUUUUGGACUCCUAUAAAUAUAGCAUGGUCAAAAACUUCAAAUAACUUUUGCACACUGAAGAUACAAAAGAUCUAAAGUGAUUUUAGUGAGAAAAUACUCUUUAAGGAAGAUUUAUAGUCUUGGUGGUGUGAAGUUCGUUGUAAGCUUUUCAUUUGUGAGUGAAUACUUCAAUAGUGUAGUUCCGUGAGGGUUGUCCUAAGGGAUAGUAAAACUUCCUAAUUUGACCAAGUGGAGCUUAGUGCAAGGAGGAAGUGAGCCUUUCUUUGUACACAAGAUUGGUUGUAUUUCAUCAAUUUGAAUAAGCUUGUUUGAAUUGAUCUACAAGCUCAAGAGGAGCUUGGUAGUCAAUUGGUUUGCAAUUCUUCCCUUCUUAUUUACUUAUUGUUAUUUUGUGAUCUUUAAAUUGCUUAUAUCUUCUACUUCUCUCAAGUGAUUUUGUUCAUUGAUUGAUUGAUUCAUUGUGUGAUCACUUAGAAUAGAGGGUAAAUUUCAUAUUGAGCAAAAAGUGCCCAUAACUUGAUUAGUUUUCUAAUCAACCUAAUUCACCUUCCUCUUAGGUUGUCUUCGGGCCUUACAAUUGGUAUCAAAACUUGGUCUCCUAGAAAUUAAGCUCAAGCAGCUUAGGAGUGAAGAUGACAAUCAACAAUGUCAUAUUUUUUAAAGGACAAUCUGUUAUUAGACCUCCUAUGUUUAAUGGGUCAAAUUGUGUGAGUUGGAAAGAAAUAAUGAUUAUCUUUUUGCAAUCGAUUGAUAUUAAAUUGUGGUUUAUUGUUAGUGAAGGUCCAUAUGAUGCCUCUAUUAUAGAUGAAAAUACUCAUAGAUCUAAACCAAAAGCAAGAAAUGAACUGACUGCAGGGGAUAGAAAGCAUCUCACCUUAAAUGCAAAAACUAUGAAUGUGUUAUAUUGUGCUUUAAACUCAAUGAAUCUAUUAGAGUCAAGGGAUGUAAGUUAGCUAAAGAAAUUUGGGACAAAUUGCGAGAAAUUCAUGAAGGUAGUGAGAAUAUUAGAGAACAAAAGAAAUCUAUCUUAGUUACUAAAUAUGAGUCUUUUAAGAUGGAACCUCAUGAAGAUAUUGAUAAAAUGUUUUGUAAAUUUAAUGAUCUUAUUAAGGAUUUAGAAGUUCUGGAUAAGGAAUACUCUUUAGGAAAGAAAAACAGAAAAAUCUUGAAUGUCUUGUCCAAGGAUUGGGAGAGUAAAGUGACUGCUAUUGAAGAGGCAAAAGAUUUGAAUUCAAUGACUAUUGAAUCUCUUAUAAACUCUCUAACAUCUUAUGAGUUGAAACUUAAGACCAAGGUACAGGAAGAAAAAGAUGCAAAGGUAAAAAGGAGCAUUGGUCUAAAAGCAUCUCAAGAUGAAGAUGAUUCUGUUUCAUUGGAUGGAGAAGAUUUUGAUGUUGAUGACAAUAAUCUUACUCUCAUCACACAAAGUUUCAAGAGAAUCCUCAACAAAAGGAGAUUUAGAAGAGGAGGAUCUUGCAAUUCAGAUUCUAAUCAAUUCAACAAUGUAAGAAGCAGAGGAAAGCUUGAGGCCAACAAAAAAUAAGGUGACAAAUGCUAUGAAUGCAGCCAACUUGGACACUACAUGAGUGAGUGUCUAAUGAAAAAGAGGAAAGCUGAAAGAAAACCAAGAUUCAACAACUUUCAAUUCACAUGGAAUGAGUGCAACUCCGAUAGUGAAAUUGAAGAGGAAAAAGAAUAUGCUCAAUUGGCUUUUAUGGCAAUUGAACAUAAUGAGGUAACAACUUCUCAAGCUCAAUUUGAAAAUGAUAAUGAAACUGAUGAUGAUCUUGAAUCUUUCAUUAAAAAGUUGCAUGAUAACAUGAAAGAAUCUUAUGUUAGAAACAAGGAAUUAAAACACAAAAUUAGUUUUCUUCUUCAGCAUAAUACACACCUUUUUCAAGAAAACAAGGAGCUGAAAACUGAAAAUAAUUUCUUAAAAAAGAAUGAGAUUGAUUUAUAAAAUAAUCUUGAUAGAAAAACAAGACUUUGUGAAAUGUUCAAAAAGGAACAAAGUGAUUUGAAAAGAAGAAUGAAUAAUUUAAAUGAGUUGCUCCAACAUAAAAAACAAGACUGUUUUCAAAGGAAUGAAUCAAAGACUCAUUUUAGCACUCAUGAGAAGAAGUUAAAUUCUAGUGCAAAUGAAUUUACUAUUUAUAAGAGAAGACAAGUAAGAUUUAUUAAACCUGUUUAUGUAAAUAAUUCUUUGAUUAUGUGUAAUUUUUGUUGUCAAAAAAGUCACAUGAAAAGUGAUUGCUAUGUGAGGAAAAACAUAAGAAAAGGCAUGAAAUGUAUGUGGAUAGUUAGACAUGAUGCUAACUUUCAAGGACCCAAAAAUUAAUGGAUAACAUAUAUUAGUUCUUGAUUUCUUGAGUAGGUGAACCUGGUGAACUUUAUUAAGGAAUUAAAGUGGUUCAUAGACUGUGAAUGUUCAAGAUACAUGACCGGUGAUCCAUCACAAUUCAUCAAGUUCAAACCAAAGUCUAGUAGCAAAGUGACAUUUGGAGGUGACAUGAAAAUUAAAAUAAUUGGAGUAGGAGAUAUUGGUAAGAUCGGUGAGAUUCUUGUUUAGAAUGUUCUUUUGUAACUUUCUUUUGAUGUUUCUGAUGUUUUGAACUGAGUUUCCCUUGAUAUUUUUGAAUAUUACUGAAUUUUUAUGAUGACAAAAUGGGAGAGAAAUGAAUAAUGCUGAUCUAAUGAUACUGAGUUUCUCUGUUUAAUACUUCUUUUAUUUAUCUGUUUGAUACUUCUUUUGGUAUCAAUUCUCUGUGAUAUGUUGGUAAAUGUUGGUAUGUUGGUGAUUGAUGCUGCAUUCUGGUAUCAUUUCUCUGUUUUUGUUUGGAAUAUUGGAUUCUCUAUUAUUAUAUGGUUGCUGGUUUAUACUCUCAUCUUAUGAUGACAAAAAGGGGGAGAAAUGGAUGUUAUGUGAAAGGAAAAAUUUUUCUGAGAUUAUAAGUUUGGCUCUUAAAAAUCUUUGAUGCAAUAAGUGAGGGGGAGCCUAUGCUCAUAUGCUCAAUCUUUUUCUUUCUUCCAUCCAUUGUUUUGUCAUCAUCAAAAAGGAGGAGAAUGUUGAUCUUAGUCCCUAACUUUUGAUGUUUACAAAACAAAUGGAUGAUACUAAUAUCUCUUCAAGAUAUACUUUCAGUUAUGAAGCAAAUCAGAUUCAAAGAUCAAGUGCAAUUGAAAGAAACAAAGGUUGCUGAAAGCUGUCGAACGCUUGUGAAGACAGGAUCGGACGUCGAUUAAUCAUUGCGCAAUUUCGAACGCAUGAAAAACUCCAUCACCGGACGUCCGAAGGAAAUAAGAUAUUCCCCCUAACUCACUGAUCUCGAUCAGACGCAAGCAUCGGACGUCCGAUAGAAUCUAUCAAACUCUUUGUCUGCUAUCGGACGGAAGUACCGGACGUCCGAUAGGAUCCUUCAAACUCGACGAAAGCUGUCGGACGCUCACAAAGACAAUACCGGACGUCCGAUAGAAUUGAAGAAGAUUUUUCAAAGUCAUUGCCUGCUGUUGGACGCAUGCUUCGGAUGUACCGGACGUCCGAUACUCCCAACGGUUAGUUGACUCUUCAGCUACUUUCUAUCCGUUGGAAGCAUUAAUGAAGCACUUUUUUGGACUCCUAUAAAUAUAGCAUGGUCAAAAACUUCAAAUAACUUUUGCACACUGAAGAUACAAAAGAUCUAAAGUGAUUUUAGUGAGAAAAUACUCUUUAAGGAAGAUUUGUAGUCUUGGUGGUGUGAAGUUCGUUGUAAGCUUUUCAUUUGUGAGUGAAUACUUCAAUAGUGUAGUUCCGUGAGGGUUGUCCUAAGGGAUAGUAAAACUUCCUAAUUUGACCAAGUGGAGCUUAGGGCAAGGAGGAAGUGAGCCUUUCUUUGUACACAAGAUUGGUUGUAUUUCAUCAAUUUGAAGAAGUUUAUUUGAAUUGAUCUACAAGCUCAAGAGGAGUUUGGUAGUCAAUUGGUUUGCAAUUCUUCCCUUCUUAUUUACUUAUUGUUAUUUUGUGAUCUUUAAAUUGUUUAUAUCUUCUACUUCUCUCAAGUGAUUUUGUUCAUUGAUUGAGUAAAUUUCAUAUUGAGCAAAAAGUGCCCAUAACUUGAUUAGUUUUCUAAUCAACCUAAUUCACCCCCCUCUUAGGUUGUCUUCGGGCCUUACAGAUAUUAUAGUCCUACCAUCCAAAGUUUAAGUGAACAAAGUUCGCAUAUUAGGCUCAACCAUGAGCCACAAGCCUACACAAGAUGGCCUCUCAAACACGCAGGGUUCAAGGGCAAAUUUGAAGGUGCAAAUCAAGAAAAAUCUAAAUGUAUUCUAAAAGUGAGGAGAGAAAUUUAAGCAUCCAAAAUCUCACCAAAAUAAGGUUUAAACUCCAGAAAAUGUUUUCCAAAGUUUUUCAAGUCCCACUCAAUCCAUUUGAUAAAAUUUUCAACUUUGGUGACAUUUUUUGAAAAAGUAUAACUUGAGUUCCGUAAGGCGAAAAAACAUAAAUCUUAUACCGUUAGAAAAUAGACUUGAAGCACUAAUAGGCUUUAGAAGACAUCUUUAUGAAAUUCAGCUCAUAGGCUAGUCAAAUUUUCAGUUCAAAAUCACUGCUGUCUCAUGUGCAAAAUUAGAACAGUCAUGGUUUUUGAGAAACUUUGUAGAUUUGCUAGUAUUUAUAGGAGUUAAACUAAACCCUAAAUUUUAUAUUGUUGAAAUCCCUAUAAGUCUAUUUUCAAACGCAACAAACGGAACUCAAUCCAAACUUUCCUAUACGAAGUUAUAGCCAAUUUCCCAAAUCUGCACAGAGCUUCCUACGAAAAUUUCCAGCAAAAGUAGAGUUUGAGGAAACAAAGUUUUCCCCCCUUAAAACUUUUUAUUUUUCACUCAAUUCCAACAUACAUCUUUAGAUUAAUGUAUUAUAAAGUGUAUUGAGUAACAAAGUGAGAUUUACCAGUCACAAAUCAUGGUGAAAAGCUGGACAAUUUCCUCUCUCCUAAUCGGCCAACUCUAGUAGAAAUUUCAGUAAAUUUUCCCCAAGUCUUUCCAACCUUAUUUCCAUGGCAAUUACACAAUAUAUCAUAUCCAACAUGCCAUGAGUUAUAUAGCAUGUAUUCUUACCAAAGAAAUCCAUUAAAGUUCCAAUUACAAGGCUGCAAAUAAAAACUAUCCAUCACAUGCCCCUAAAUCGAAAUUUCAGCAACCUAUAACUUAGAAAAGUGAUUUUUCUUCCACAAAACUCCUACCUUUUGGCUUAAAUUUAACAUAAAACUAGAAUACCCAAAAAUAAUGGAGAAAUGAAAAGUUUUAUAGCAAUUUUACCUCUAUUUUCCUCACAAAACAGAAGCUGGACAUUUCUCAACAUAACCUGAAAAUCAUGAAAUCCACCAUACAAGUCUUUCCUUUAGCUUCUGUAACAUCAUAUAUCAAUUAAACUCAAUAAUAAGGGAAGAUUUAUAGCAAAGUUCACCUUUUUUACUUCCAAACCCAAGGAUAGCAAACAAAUCAAGAAGGUUGCAAGGCUUUCUUUCUCCAAAACUUCUCCAAUAGCUUCCUUCCAAGAUUGAUUCAAGGUUUUAUGGCGAUUAGGGUUUUUCUUUGGUUUCUUCAUGAUUCAAGCAAGAGAUCAAGGCUGGAUUUUUUUGUGUUUUCUCUCCCUUUCCUCUCUCAAAAUUUCGUCCAUCAUAUGUGCAAGAAGAAGAAAGCGAUGAAGACAAGAAGGUUUGGUCAAGAUAAGUAAGAAAAAGGCUUGGUCUUGGUCAAACUUGGUUGGUUAGUUGACAAAUGUCAAGGAAAGAUGUAUUGUCUAUCUUUUUGUCUCUCUAUUUGUCUCUAAUCACUAACAUAUCUAAUGCCCCUCUAAUUAACUCUUAACACCUCUUGGCAUAUAAUUUCUUUUGCGCAAAACUCCCUCUAAUCCUUCACAUUUAUCGCACACACCUCACUAGUCGAUCACACUAGUAUCACGCACUAUGAGACUUAACAUGCAUCAAGUAAAAUAAGAAAAUUGGUCAAAAUCAUGAUUCAACUAAUAAAACAACCAAGAAUUCGAGGCAAGUAAAUGAAAAUCAAAGAAAAUAUGUAACUAACUGUCGGGUCACAAUACAACUUGCAAACAUCUAAAAAUGAACAAAACUUUUUUUUUCUUUUCUUGGUCAAAGCUAGGGUUUGAAAUUUGUUGUAUUAAAAUCUCUUUCUUUCCAUAAAUAUGUCAUGCCAUAAAAUGUUAGACAAUCAAUUAAAAGAAAUAACAAGGUACAACAGUCCGUUAUCAUUCACUAUAUAUACAAGCAAGUAAGCCAAAAUGAAAGGUAUGAAAAUUUUGGAUCCUCACAAAAUGAAUGGCCAGGCAUCACCAAGAGCAUUAAGCGACAAAGAAACUUGACGUCAGAUUUGGCUAGGAGAUGCUCUACUGUUCUCAUAGAUGGCUUUAUUUCUCACCUUCCACAUCUCCCAACUUAUUAGUUAAGGUAAUACGUGUGCUAAAGUGGCCGUCAACUAUCCCUCCAAUGGAGUGCAGCCACCAGCCUUGGAGAUUCUGUAUGAGCGAGUCUGCAGCAGCCAUUCAAAGGUCGAGCAUUUGCUAAAACCACUCCCAAACCUGGAUCGCUACCAAGCAGUCAACAAAGCAAUGCUGUAGAGUCUCUUCAUUGUCACAAAAGGAGCAUUUAGAAGGUAGAUGAAACCCAUAGCGCUGUGCAGAGGCCCCGUCCUGGGCCCACACACGUGGCAACCCAGGGGUGCCUGAGCUGGGCUUAGACCCUCAGGCCCACGGGAACCAUCCCGUGACCCCCCGUCGCUAGGGCUCCAAGGGGCUCCAGAGAACAAUCCCGCCUAGGUCGGGAUUGCUCCCCCUCAGUGCGGGAUUGAGGCAAUUCUGGGCAGGUCCCGAAACGUACGAAGGUCGGACUCCCAAGCAAGUAUAAAUGGUAACACACAUCAACUGCAGAAGGUACGCUCACUAUUAGACAAUUACUCCCGACCGUUUUUAUUUCCCGUGGAUCUCCCUCACCGGAAAACUAACUUGACCGUCGGAGUGCCCUCGGGGACGACCUCGGAACCCCCAUGUCAGAUCACAUCCUUGUUCGUUUUUCAGGCUGAGGACGCGCCCUUCUCGCCAGCACGCCGAGCUCAUCAGGUUAGCUCGGUCCGGGGAAGUACCGUGCUUCUUCAGUUGGCGCCGUCUGUGGGAACGAAGGUACGAGUAGUUGUGUUGAUGGCGAGAACGCGUUCAAAGCGAACCAUAGAGAACACCGAUCCCGGAGCCGGCGAGGGGUCCCGGCGGGUGGAGACCGAGGCGGCUCGGGGCGCCGGGGGCCCAGCCCUUUCAGGGGAACGGAGACAGUAGAUUUUUCAGUUCGUGACGGAGAACCUUCCCAUGCUAGAAGACAUAAUUCGGCAAGCAAAGGAGGGGGGUGAAGCCGGGGGCGCCCAAAUCUCCAAGGCGAAGAGGAAGGAGAGGGAAUCACCUCCCGUUCCCUCGGAGGACGAGUCACGGGACCAGCCCCCCAGGAGGAAAAGACAACGAACUCCCUCUCGGCCGCGGGCCUCGGUGGUCGGGGACAGCGAGGGGUACUCUCGCGAUCGGUCCGCUGGGGGCCGACCAAGGAAUCCCUCCUCGUGGAAGCUUGCGCGGAAGGAGCCUGAGCGCUCCCCCGCCCGAUCUAUCAAGAGCCGGCCGCGGGACCACCCCCAGUGGAAGCCUGUCCGGGCCGUGCUUGAGCAGAAUUUGCGGCCGCAGUUGUACGAGGACAACUCCACCACCUCGCCCUUUACCCGGGAGAUAAAGGACUACCCACUACCCCGGAGGUUCAAGAUCCCGAACAUCGAACUGUACGACGGCUCGACCGAUCCGGAGGAUCACCUUUCGGUCUUCCUGACGCAUAUGCGCCUACAAACCGCCGCGAAUGGGCUCCGCUGCAAAACCUUCCCCAUGUUCCUGAAGGGAAAGGCCCGGCUCUGGUUCCAAGGUCUGGCGCCGGGGUCCAUUCGGAGUUUCCCCGAGCUGGCCAGACAGUUCUCCGCCCAGUUUGUCUCCUCGAAGACUUACUCGAAAAACGCGACUCAUCUGAUGGCAAUCAGGCAGAAGCCGGACGAGUCCCUGAGGAACUUCAUGACCCGCUUCAACACGGAGAGCUUGCAGAUCAGGGAUAAGGAUGAGAAGGUGGUCAUGGCCGCCUUCAUGAACGGGCUCAGGGUGGAAGAGCUCUUUUUCAAGCUCGCCGAAAAGCCUCCCGGAGACCUGGAGGAGCUCUUGACUAGGGCGCACGCAGCCGCUAAUGCGGAGGAGGCUGCACGCCUGAAGAGAGAGUCAGAUCGGGAGCUCGGAGAUCGGAGAGAACGGGUAAACCCGUCCGAGAAUAAGGACGGCCCGGUCAAGAAAAAUGUGUUCGACCGGCUCGCGAAGAAUAAAGCCCCCGCUCGGCCGCCGCUUCCAGAAAAGGACUACACCCCAAUAACUCGGCCCAGAGCCCAAGUUCUGGCCGUCAUGGAGGCGGAGGGCCUAGUGGGGCGGCCCCCUAAGAUGGGGACACCCCGGAACAAGAGGAACCAGGACCGGUACUGUGCCUUCCACCGUGAUGUUGGGCAUGAUACGAAGGGGUGCUGGGCCCUACGAAAGGAGAUAGAGGAUCUGAUCCAGCGCGGCUUCCUGGGGCGAUUCGUGCAGCAAGGUCGACCAGGCCAGGAGCCGGGGCGCACCUACCGCGGAGACAGGGGCGAGGGCCAGCGUCGCGACCGCCCCGAGCGGCGUGACGUCCCUCGGGCCCACUCCCCCGACCAAGACACCAGAACUUGGCAGGGGUAAUAAACAUCAUCGCUGGGGGCCCCACGGGAGGAGACAGCCAUACAGCUCGGAAGAACAGGCGACCUCCUCCGGAGGGGGAUGACUCCUUGAAGCGCCUGCGUAUAGACGAAAAAAUCACCUUCGGACCAAGGGACGCGUUUCCCCUGGCGUCUGGAAACCACGAGGCCAUCGUGAUAGAUGUCGUGACUAACAACUACCGGGUGAAAAAAGUGUACGUUGACCAGGGGAGCGCGGUGGACAUCAUGUUUUACCGGGUGUUCAAGGAGCUCGGCUUGGAGGACGGACAGCUAACCCCAGUUCGGACACCCCUGGUGGGCUUCACCGGACCGCCCAUCACUCCGGAGGGGAUGAUCACUCUGAUGGUCACGGUAUGGCAGGCGCUCAAAUGCCGGACCAUUCCCGUCAACUUCGUGGUGAUCAAACAACAAUCCCCGUACAACGUGUUCUUGGGACGGCCCGCCUUGAAUGCCCUCCGAGCUAUCCCCUCGUCUCUACACCUCAGCGUCAAAUUUUCCACCCCGGGAGGAAUAGCUGAGGUGCGUAGGGAUCUAGAGGUGGCCAGAGCCUGCUACCUGGCCGUGCUCCGGGGACAUGAGAAGGUGGUCGCCCAGACGACCAGAUUGAAGCCUUACAUCCCGAGGGAGGAGGCCCGGCAGCUGGGCACCCAGGACCAGAUCGAGGAGUUCCCAUUGAGAGAGGACAGGCCUGACCAGGUCCUCCGCGUCGGUGCGUCGCUACCCCCCGAAGAGAAGGAGGGCUUGAAGGCUCUACUAAGGGAGUACGCCCAGGUUUUCGCGUGGACGGUAGAGGACAUGCCUGGGAUUCCGACCGACCUGACUGUCCACCACCUCAACGUACACCCCAGCUUCAAGCCAGUGAAGCAGAAGAAGAGGAGUUUCGCCCCAGAGAGGAAUGAGGUGAUCCGGAAGGAGGUGGGCAAGCUGUUGGAAUCCAAAAUCAUCCUGGAGGUACACUACUCGACCUGGUUAGCCAACCCCGUUCUGGUGAAGAAGGAGGACCAGUCCUGGAGGAUGUGCGUGGACUUCACGGAUCUCAAUAAAGCCUGCCCGAAGGACUGCUUCCCCCUGCCGAGGAUCGACAGGUUAAUAGACUCUACUGUUAGUUUUGACGUUUUGUGUUUCCUGGAUGCUUUCAAGGAAUACCAUCAGAUAGAAAUGGCCGAAGAAAAUCGGGAGAAGACCUCCUUCAUCAUCGAGGAAGGAACUUACUGCUACCGGACCAUGCCGUUUGGGCUAAAGAACGCUGGAGCUACCUACCAACGUCUGGUCAACAAACUGUUCCAGAAUCAGAUCGGCAAGAGUAUGGAGGUCUACGUGGACGAUAUGAUCGUCAAGAGCCGGACUAGUCGGCAGCUCGUCCCCGACCUUAGGGGAAUCUUGAACAUUCUGCGGGAAAGCCGGAUGCGGCUGAACCAAAAGAAAUGUAUUUUCGAGGUUAGGUCGGGAAAGUUCCUGGGCUUCCAGGUCUCCCGAGAGGGGAUCCGGGCCAAUCCGGAUAAGCUCCAGGCCAUCAUGGACAUGGCCCCCCCAAGGAGCGUGAAUGAGGUCCAACGGCUCGCGGGGAGAAUGGCCGCCCUGAACAGGUUCCUUUCGCGCUCCGCGAUGAGGGGGCUGCCAUUCUUUCGAAUCCUGAAAGCACCAAAGGACUUCCAAUGGACGGAGGAGUGCCAGACAGCCUUCACCGACCUAAAAGCAUACUUGGCCGAGCCGCCAGCUCUGACCGCCCCGGAGCAGGGAGAGACCCUGUUCCUAUACUUGUCUGCUUGCAACGAGGCCGUUAGCGCGGUUUUGGAGCGGGAGGACAGGGAGGGCUCAACGGCCAAUAUACUAUGUUAGCCGAGCUUUAAAAGGGCCGGAGACGCGGUACACGCCGGCGGAAAAAUUGGUCCUCGCCUUCGGAAGCUCCGACCUUACUUCCAGGCCCACAGCAUUACUGUCCCGACAGAUCAACCCUUGCGGCAGAUACUCACAAAAUCCGAGGUCUCGGGCCGAAUGACCAAAUGGGCCGUCGAACUAGCCGAGCACGGCAUCGGCUAUCAGCCUCGCACCGCUCAGGUCCUGGCAGACUUCCUCGCCGAGGGCGCCAGUUUGUCAGUGACUGAGCCGAGCUCUUUGACCAAGGAGGCACGGCCGGAAGAGCCGUGGGUACUAUUCGUAGACGGGGGCCUCAAGUAAGGAAGGGAGCGGAGCUGGCUUGCUGCUCAUCUCGCCCACCGGGGAGGAACUGACCUAUGCUCUCAGAUUUGACUUCCCAGCAUCCAAUAAUGAGGCUGAAUGCGAAGCGCUAUUGACAGGGUUGCGGAUAGCCCACCAGAUGGGUAUAACAGCGAUCAGAGUACGGAGCGAUUCUCAACUCGUAGUCUACCAAGUCCGCGGAGAGUACGAGGCUAAGGAAGAGGUCAUGAAAAAGUAUUUGGCUAAGGUGCAGGAGGCGAUAAAGCUGUUCGACCUCUUCGAGAUCAAACGGGUACCAAGGUCACAAAACAAGCGAGCGGACGCUCUGUCGAAACUGGCGUCCUCCUCGUUUGCCCACCUGAGCAAAGAAGUCUUAGUGGAGGUAGUUAAGCAGAAGAGCAUUGGCCAGGCCCAGGUUCUGGCUAUAGACAGCCCGGCCACUUGGAUGACUCCCCUCGUGGACUUCCUCAGCUUGGGUGCCCUCCCAGUGAACAAGACCGAGGCUCGCGGACUCCAGCUCAGGGCUGCAAGGUACGCCUACGCUGGGGGGACCCUAUACAGGAGGUCGUACUUAUCCCCCUGGCUAAAGUGCGUAACUCCCGAGGAGGGUGACUAUGUCCUCCGAGAAGUUCACGAAGGCCUGUGCGAGGCACAUGUGGGGUCUCGAGUGUUGGCCAAAAAAUGCCUGCUCCUAGGCUACUACUGGCCCUCAGUGUUUCGGGAUGCCGCAACUCUAGUCCAGAAAUGCCGAGCCUGCCAGGUGCACGCCCCGCUGCGCCACCAACCCACUCGGGAGAUGGUCCCCAUCCAUAGCCCUUGGCCCUUUGCCCAGUGGGGGAUUGACCUCCCGGGUCCCUUCCCCCGAGCUCCUGGAAGGUACGAACACCUCGUGGUAGCCAUCGAUUAUUUCACAAAGUGGAUGGAGGCCGAACCCCUGGCCACUAUUUCCGGAAGGGCGAUUCAAAAGUUCUUCUGGAAGAACAUAGUCUGCCGCUUCGGGAUCCCGCGUGUCUUGAUAUCUGACAACGGGCGACAGUUUGCUGAAAAUCCCUUCAGGAGCUGGUGCGCCGAGCUCGGGAUUAGCCAACACUUCACCUCGGUCGGACAUCCCCAGGCCAACGGUCAAGCAGAGAAUGCUAAUCGAACCAUUCUGCAAGGGCUUAAGACUAGGUUGGAAUUAGCCCAGUCUAACUGGCUAGAUGAACUCCCUAGCGUCCUCUGGGCUUACCGCACCACGCCAAGGACAGCCACUCAUGAGACCCCGUUCUCCCUGACUUACGGGGCGGAGGCGGUGGUGCCCGCGGAGGUCGGUCUCCCCUCGCCUUGGACACAGAACUUCGUGGCGUCAGCCAACGAAGAAGAACUGAGGUGCAACUUAGACAUGUUGGAGGCUAAGCGUGAGGAAGCGGCGAUACUGAUGGCUAGGUAUAAAAGCCAACUCGCCCGCUAUCAUAACGCGAGGGUGAGGAAUACGCAGUACCAGUCGGGAGACCUCGUCCUAAGAAAGAACUCAGUCAGCCAAGCUCAUAGCUCCAACAAGCUUGGCCCGAACUGGGAGGGGCCGUACAGGGUCCUCGAGGCAAGCCGGGCUGGGUACUGUAAGCUGGCCAAAUUAGAUGGUGUAAAGGUACCCCGCACUUGGCACUUCUCGAAUUUGCGAUUGUUUGUAGGAUAGAUUGGUCCAGGGUGUCUUCCUGUAUUCUUUGGAAUCUUCGUACCAGUUCAUUAUUAAAUAAAUGUUCGGCUUUCCAGUUUUAAGUCCAUUCUCAUUAUCAAUGCCGUUUAACUUUUCACUUUUACACUAGCACACUCAGAUAAUGCUAAGUGUCCUAGUGGGGGGCCCUGAGAGAUCGACGCUCGACCCAGGAGGUUGGCAUGAUUACAUGACUACCUUCAAAUUUGACGCUCGGCCCAGGAGGUCGGCAUGAAUGCUAACGGAUGGAAUGCCCUUCAAAUCUGAGAAAUCGGCGCUCGACCCAGGAGGUCGGCACGAUUGUCUUUCCAAUUUUGGUGCUCGACCCGGGAGGUCGGCGGCUAAGGGAUGAAUUCAGAUGAUGAAUCAGUGGAAGGCCUUUGGAGUGUGAGAAUUGACGCUCGACCCAGGAGGUCGGUAGGGAUUAAAACCUUAAAAGUCUGAGAGUCCGAUGCUCGGCCCAGGAGGUCGGCGGGACUGGCUUUAGAAUUUUACUGCUCGACCCAGGAGGUCGGCGAGCUUAAAAAGAGCCUUGCGUCCGGUGCUCGACCCAAGAGGUCGGCACGCCGCCCAGGCUGGUGGAAUUUGGUUGUUAGUUUAGCUUGGUCAUCUGAUGGGACCCCAGUUUGUCGCCCUUUGGCAAACUGUUUGUUGGCUUAUGGUUAGGCGGAUGCUCGACCCAAGAAACCGGCACGCUGCUCCAGUAAAUCAGGACCGACGUUCGAUCCAGGAGGUCGGCGUAACUUAAAGCCUAGAGGUGUGGUGUUUGGCCCAGGAGGUCGGCGCGUCACUCCGGUUAUUAGAAUUCGAUUACUAAAUCAGCCUGAUGGUUUGGUGUCCCUGACAACUUAGUCGUUAGCUUAAAGGGCGAUAGAUGCUCGACCCAAGAGGUCGGCACGCCGCUCUGGUGGACCAAUUUGGAGCUCGACCCGGGAGGUCGGCGUUCCUUUUCGGUUACUAGAGUUCGCUACUAACAAGGAAUUGAAAGUCAUAAUAGAUAGCUUCAUUCAAACUUCAUCUCAUGUAUUCAUUCAGACCCUAUCUAUUACAAAGCCUACCGAGCUAUACAAGGAAGGGGAACCUAGCUAUGCUUUCAUCUUGCUGGCGACCUGCUUGAGGCAGGAGCUGAAGGUACACCUUAAGCAUGUUGAGGGGCGUAUGGUGAAGGCUAUACUUUCAUCUUGCUGGCGACCUGCUUGAGGCAGGAGCUGAAGGUACACCUUAAUCAUGUUGGGAGGUGGAGAAGGCUGUUAAAAGGGAUCUGUGGAGAUCAUGAACGGCGGGGCAUGGCCACAUCCUUAUAAGAGGAUGGAAAGGGUUUCUGGAGUGGCCGCUGCCCUAAGCCACUGGCUCCUUCCCGGAAGCCCUGCCAGGAGUCUCCUCCUCCUCCAGGGGAAGCUCCGCCAGCUCGGUCCCCACAUCGCUCCUGCCCACCAGGUCCUUCAGGGCAUGCCCUUUGCAGUACCCUUCGAAGAGCCAGUCCAGCUUCCCCUCUGUUGCGGGGUUGUAGUCCUUGAAGUCAGCCAAGUUGAAGCCGGGCAGGUUGAGGCCCUUCACCUGGUCCAGGGCCCGCUUGACGCCGACCUGGAGGAUGGGCUGGUUGAGGAAGGCCACGUCCUCGGCGAACUGGUCAGAGGAGAUGAACUCCCGAACAGCCUUCUUGCGCUCCCGGCUGAUGGUGCCGGAGAGUUCAAUGGCGUGGUCCUCCCUCAGCUUCGCCGCGCCCUUCUUCUCCUGGUCCAGCUCGGACCGGGUGGCGGCAAGCUGGACUUGGGCCUCCUCUAGCCCCUUUUCGGCCUUGCCCAGUUUGGCCUUAAGGGAGUCCGCCCCCUUAAGGGCCUGGGCAAGCUUCUGCUCGGUCUCCCGAUGCUUCUUCUGCAACUUCUCCAAAUCGGGAGACAACUCGGAGAAGCGGGUCAACAGGGCAGCACCGGCGGCGUUGGCCUAAGGAAAAGAAAGUAAGCAUGAGCACUUAAUCAAGGGAAAGAACAGGGGCCCAAGGGGCCUAAACGGAAAAGGGGCUUACUUGGGUCUGGGCGGUACAGUACACGUCCUGGAGCUCAGACGGGCUGGCCAGUUCCAUCCACUUUCUGUCGCGUGGAAGGACCGAGCCCGUGACCAGCUCGCGAGGCACCUCGGGGAACUGGGCCUUGCCAUUGAUGGAGAGCUCCCAGGACGGGCAGAAGUGGCGGGGGUCGUGCAUGGUGGGGGCUUGCCCCGGCUUCGUGGGGGCCACGUGGCGGAAGUGACACAAUCUCGGGGGAGCGCUCUCUCGGGCGUGCUUCUCCGCGGAGCCAACCCCCAAGUGUACAGGGCCCCCCGACGUCAACAGGAGAGGGUGCUGUGCUGGGGCUGGCGUAGGCUUCUUCCCGGGCUGGGAAGGCUCGUCCUCCCGGCCCCUCUUCUGCCUUGGCGCUUUCUUUUUGCCGGCUGCCUGCUUGGAGGGGGAUUGAGACUGGGAGGCCUCCUUCUGGGGGGCCGAGCUGCCCCCAGGGGUCGGGGAGGCCUCGGAGGCCUUCUUCGCUGCCUCAGGCUACUUGGUGGGAGUUACCUCCUCAAUUGGCUCGCCCAGUAGCCUGGAGAGCUUCCUCACUGCGACAAACAUAGCCAGGUCAGCCAAAAAAAGUCUGUAAGAAAAAAAUGCAGUAUAUAUGUAAAUACAACGAGCUACAGGGACAGAGUCAGCGUUACAGGCUUCAAGGUCGGUAUGGGAGGCCACCACCUCUCCAGGGGACCCGGACAACGUCCCCAUCAGCCCGGCCGUAGAGAUCUGCUCGAUGGAGAACUUGGCGGCGAAGAGCUUCACCUUGGAGCUCAUCAGCUGGCCGAGGGCCUCGGGGUCCAGGUCCUCCGGAUAGGGGUCGGAGUCGACCUCCCCGAUCUUCCACACGUUCGGGGGAAAGCUCGUGGAUUUUACAAAGAGGAAGUCCCCCUUCCAAUUUUUUAUGGAAGAGGGGACCCCAUAAAGUAGAUCCUGGGUGCCCUUUUCCCCCCGGACUUGGCUAGCCCCUCGGCGGGAGAAGUAGUACCACCCGGGGAGGGAUAGCUUGAGGAUGUAAGAAGCCCGAAAGAGGGAAAGUGAGUAGGGAAUGGAACAGAUUUGGCAGUAGAUCAGGAAUCCAAUGAUGAUCCUGAUCGAGUUGGGAUGGACUUGGGUGAUCCGGAGUCCCCAGUAGCUCAGGAUCUCCGCCAGGGCUGGAGGAAUGGGGAGCCGGAGCCCAGCGAGCAGCUGCUCCCUAUAAAUGGCUACAAAAUCAGGGGGAGGUCGGCAGGCUCGAUCGGUGGGUCCGGCGGCUCGCGGCUCUAAGGCCGGAGGGAUGGAAAAAGACCCGGCCAGCUCGGCCACCGCCCCGAGUGAGAGGGUGACCUCCUCCCGAUCGGGGUGACCGUAGUUGAACUCAGAAUCAUCCCCCUGCUCGGAAGCAGGGGUCCCCUCGGAGGAGUCCCUGUCCUCCCCAGCUCCCCCCUGGGCUCCGCCAGGGGAGUCAUGUGGAGACUUGGGGGGAUAGAAGUGGAUUGCUGCUCGAUGAGAGCAUCAAACUCGGCCACCUCCUCCAGGAGUCGGGCAGAAGGAGAAUGGGCAGAUGGAGAGCUCAUGAUGUCAAUGGGUUUGAACAGGUCAGGAGUGAAGAAGUUGGGAUUGGAAGCAGAGGAAGAAGAGAGAGGGGGAGGAGAAGGUGAAGAUGAAGAUGAGGACGAAGAUGAAGAAGAAAUGAGGAUUCUGGGUGCUCUACGACGGGCCAAAAUUUGGGAGGCGGUGGAAGUAACGCCGGAGCGAUCCGACAUAAAAUUCAGAAAAUGGCAAAGGAGGUAAAGAAAAUGCGAAGGAGGAGGAAAAGAAGACUUACUGGUAAGUGGGGUGGAACAAAGGAUGAAGGAGUCGCCGGAAUCUGGGUGCUGGAAGCCGGAAGUCUUGUUGCUAGGAAUUGAAAAUGCACGAAGGAAGGAAAAAUGGCAAAUAGAGUCUGAGAAAGUUGGGGAAUCCCUAUUUAUAGGGAGUGGAAUGGGGGGAAAACGGUUGCUUGAAUUUGAACCGCCUCAUGUGAACGCAUUUAAGAACGGUACGGAGACCAAGGGGACGCGACAACUGAAGGGACGCGGGCGCAGCUUUCCAAUGACAGCACUCUGCCGGAGGUGACCGCGGCAGUGCGGUGCGAAGUUGGGCUCCCACGUGGCAAGGAUGUAGAUCAGGUCGGCCUGGAAGCCCUACCUAAUCUAGGGGACUAGUGCAGAGGCCCCGUCCUGCGCCCACACACGUGGCAGCCCAGGGGUGCCUGAGCUGGGUUUAGACCCUCAGGCCCACAGGAACCAUCCCGUGACCCCCCGCCGCUAGGGCUCCAAGGGGCUCCAGAGAGUAAUCCCGCCUAGGUCGGGAUUGCUCCCCCUCAGUGCGGGAUUGAGGCUAUUCUGGGCAGGUCCCGAAACGUACGGAGGUCGGACUCCCAAGCAGGUAUAAAUGGUAACACACAUCAACUGCAGAAGGUACGCUCACUAUUAGACAAUUACUCCCGACCGUUUUUACUUCCCGUGGAUCUCCCUCACCAGAAAACUAACUUGACCGUCGGAGUGCUCUCGGGGACGACCUCGGGGCCCCCCUGUCAGAUCACAUCCUUGUUCGUUUUUCAGGCUGAAGACGCGCUCUUCUCGCCAGAACGCCGAGCUCAUCAGGUCAGCUCGGUCCGGGGAAGUUCCGUGCUUCUUCACGCUGCAAUAAUAUAUCAGGAAAGGGCAGCAAAGAAUUCAACAAUCUCCACAUGAAGAUUGAGAUCUUGAGUGGCAUGCGCUGGUCCCAAAUGAUCCUUCAUGAUAUUAAAGGGUUGGCCGCCGGCCAAAGCUUUGCGAGAGCUGACGAUAGCAUGAAACCACCAAUAGCAGAAGGCGUCCAAAUUUGAAGAUCUCUUCCACUUGACAUGUGAUUUUGGGAAGCGAGUAUUUGCUGCUUUUCAGCCAGUGUGAGCGACUCUUGAACUGGGUUCAAAUGCCAUUUACCCCUCACAAACAGGUCUGCAAUUCUAAUUCCUGGCAAUGAAACCGUGUCCUUGUCACUUGCCAGGGGGCCAGUCCCCAACCAGUUAUCAAACUAGAAGUAGGAGCUGCCAUCCCGUAUCAAUCUCCUCCAUAAAGUCCUGUACCUGAAGUGGUUUGUCGAAGGCUGAGCUGGCGCAGUUGUCACAUGUUCCUCCCCCCUAUGACGUACUUAGAUAACAUGUACCGGCUCCAAAGUGUGUCACCUGUCCUCAGUUUCCACCACAACUUGCAACCCAAAGCCCUUACUAUAUCCUUUAGCUUGUUAACCCCGAGGCCGUCUUGCUCAAUAGGGAAGCAUAAUGCACUCCAGUUACGCCAACGCUUUUUCACGCCGCCCUUCACGCAUAAGCCACUCAAUUUGACUCAAUACGCCUUUGGGGGGCUCUAAAACCACGAAAGUGUAUAAAGGCAUAGCGGCCAAUACAUGCCUUAUCAGUACUGGACGUCCUUCGGCAGUUAACAUCCUCUUUUUCCAACCCACGAACUUGCCUUGCAUUUUGGCAAGCGUUGGAAAUUCUCUCGUUUGCUCUGACCCUUGAAGAGCUGAGUACCUAGAUACACGAAUGGCAAUUUUUUAUGCCGGAUCCCUGUCAAUCUGGUUAUCAACCUAUCCUUAGCAGUGGGGCACCUAGAUGAGAGCACGCAAAAGCUCUUUUCUUUAUUUACCUUUUGUCCCGAACCAUCUUGAUACACCUCUAGAAACUCUAUUAAUCCCUUCACCGACCGUAGGUCCCCCUGUGUGAAGAUGAUUAUGUCAUCUGCAAAGGCCAGACGUGAUACCUGCAGAGCUCCUGUCGCCUGAGCAUAAGGUUGAACCUUCCCCGAGGCGAUGAGAUUAUUCAACCCACGACUAAGGGUCUCAGAGACCAGUAUAAACAAAAGGGGAUAAAAGGUCACUCUGCUUUAACCCGCGAGUUGGUUGGAAGAACCCGUUUGGCUUCCCAUUAAUGAGGACUGAGAACCACGAGGAGGUUAGAUUGUUUAUGAUCAAGGCCACAAACUAGGGAUGUAAGCCAAAUGUGUGAAGCAACUGAGACAAGAAAACCCACGACACAUGAUCAAAGGCCUUCAUCAUAUCUAGCUUGAGUACCAUAUUUUGGCCUCGAACAUUUUUUAUCUAUUGCAUGGAUCAGCUCUUGUGCGAGAAAGAUAUUGUCUGAGAUCUCGCGACCAUUGACAAAAGCUAAUUGCUCAGGGGAGAUAAUUGAAGGCAAAACAGUAAAAUAUUUUAUCACAAAGAAAAUUAAAGGCCAAAGUAUGCUGACUAGAAAGAUAUUUUAUCAUUCAAGAAAGUUUGCUCUAGCAUUAGAAUAAUAUCUUUGAUAAUAUCCUUAACCUAUUUAAAAGGGAAAAAUAUGCCAUUGAUCACUUAUCAUUCACAACUCAUUUUGGUCACUCAUUUUUUUCCGUCUUAAGUUAGUUUGUCAAUCUAACUUCAUAAGUUUCAUUUUUUAUUCCAUUUUGUCCAAUUAUUACUAUUGCUUCCUCUAAAUUAUGACUUCACAUCUACCUAGUACCUACAUCAGGGGCAUUUUUGUUAAUGUAAUAUGCCCAGAUACCCAUAUCUCACUUAUGUGCCCUAUUGCUAUAUAAAAAUGGGUAAUUUGAUGAAGGGAACUACAAAAAAUACCUCUAAAUCAUCAUUAAAUAUUAAGAUUGACAAAAGUGUAUAAGGGAGGAAAUAUGAUGAAAAUAAUAGAAGUUGGAUGAUCAAUUUGGAAAGAAUAAAAAUUUAGUGACCAAGGGUUACCACCAGUGCAUUUUGUUCUAUACGAAUAAUCAAAUUAAAAACUAUAAGGUUUCAUUUUGGAUUGGUGAACUAUAAAGUUCGGGACACUUGACUCACUACCCACUCUAAUCUAAUUAUUAACAAAAUAUACAAAACAAAUGGAAUGACUGCCACUCUUUGUCACUCCAUUAAUGAUUAGAUUAAAGUGGGAUAAGUUUCAAAACAUUUCAAACUGAAAUCUAAGGACCACAGCGAGACCCAUGCAAAAUGGAAUCAAUCUUUGGGGAUAUUAUUGAUAAGAACUGUAUGAACUUGAGGUAGUCCAUUUUUAGUAAUACCUUAUCAAUAUUGUACGUUCUGACACGUUAAAUCGACAAGAGGAUGAUUUUUGAGGAAAACUUUCAAAAUGAAUGAUAGCGUACAAUUUAGAAGUAAAAAGGGAAAGAGCACACUUUACAUUGAUAAGAUAAUUGUUACAAGUAGUAACUGGUUGAUCGAACUUUUUUUUUAUAAACUCUACAAUUUGAAUGUUCUAUGGCUUGAAAAAUAUCAUACGAAGCAUCGAGGUGCUAUGCUUUAAGGUUUCAGAGUUUUCAACCUAAUGAAUUUAGAAAAAUAAUUCAAAUCCAUUUAUAGGUUUUUAGGACCAUAGUGUAUGAUAGUGUCACGGGUCAUGCAUUUGCAUUGUCUCAUAACUAUCAACAUAGCUUGGAGGCCACCAUGCCAAAGGACGCAUAUAGCUCGCACACACUGAAGCUGGCGCCAAACCUCUACACAAGUUACGGAGUCUAUUGAUGUAAUUCUUAGUUGCUAAUUCGUCCCAAUCCCUAUUCUCCUUUAGUUUUGUUAUAUAGGUAGCAUUGUGUGCAUACCCGUUGUAUUUUUUUUAGUAGAUCUAGUUCUUAGUCGACAAUACUAGCUCAUAUCUGAUUGUUACUUUUUACAUGAAAACCGUUUGUUAUUCUUUUUGAAUGCAAGUGCUACUUUCUCUUAUUUUGCGGUGCCUCUAUGAGCAUUUCUUGCAUUUAGUUUAUUAUUUACUUUAAGUAUAAUUGCAAUGAACUCGGUAAUUUGACGAAACGACUCUUGAAGAAUUUGAGCCAUAUGAUUGAGGCGGCCUGUAAGACACAAGCAUGUUAGUUGUAUUUUCCAAGAUAAGAAUUUCAUUCCAUACUAGUCAUACACAACUGAUUCAAUACAUACUCUAUAUAUUUAUUUGGAUUAAUCACAUGUCCCCCAUGUACUAGGGGAUAAUCACACUUUGCGCCCUUCAACUAAAACAAUAUACCGUUUGUAGAAAAAAAAAAAAACUAAAACAACAUACACUUUGCUCCUCUAACAGCCUCAAAACAGUAAAAGAAUUUUCUUUCAAUUUUCCUCUUAGCUUUGGUCAUACUUUACCCACUUGAAUUAAGAAAAAAUCCCACUAAACAGAAAAAUAUAAACUUUACUUUAAUAAUAUAUUAUUAUAUAUAGGUUAUAAUGCAAUUCAUAAUGCUUAGAACUAAUAUACUUUAUUCCAAAAAUUUAUUGACCAAAAGAAACUUCCUAUAAUUUCAACAUAGGUUUAUGUCUUAUGUUUAUAAUUUUCUUUCAAGUUUGAAUUAGUGGUUUUUAUAGUUUCUUUUUUUUCACAGUAAAUUAGAACUAAAACACAUCUAUUUUCUUUUGAAAUUUUAGCCUUAACUUUAAAUCCUUGACCUCAAAGAAGAAAAAGGAAAUAAGUUAAUAAGAAAUCAACAAAUUUGCUUAGUUCACGUAAGAUUCUGGUGGAGUUGAGUAACGCUUUAUGAAUUAGUUAGAGCUCUAUGUUGAAAACAUUAACUACCAACAUAAAGCCAUUGAUAAGUUUCACUAACAUUUUGGUAGAGAAAAGUUCGGAAAUAGAGAAAGUAGGCCACCACCAUUGGAAGCUCGAAACAGGUUUUUUAGAGUGCCUAACAACAUUUUAAAAAAGAAAAAGAAAAAGAAACUAAGAUUGAUGAUUAUCCAUUUCUGAUUUGACUAGGUAAAAUCUGCAACCUGCCAAAAACAUGUAGUUGACUGCAGAAACUACAUCAUCAUCUCUAUGCUUAAAAAACUAACUGCAAGUUUGACAAUUGUGGAAAUUCACUUAGCGGAUGAGGUAUUAAGGGAGAGAGCUUAGCGAUCUCAGUCCGCACUAGUUACAACUUCACCAGUUGUGCUUAUAGCAUGUACUUGAUGUACCUAUUACUUAAUAGAUAGGGAUUUGAAAUUCAUGAAAAAAUCGAAAACCCUAACAUCCAACUAUAAUGGUUACUCAUGUGAAGUCGCAGAUACCCACCUUUAAUGCAUAUUGUCUCUUUCUCAAUUAUUUCAUCCUUUUCAUGGUACUUAGCUCUUUUUGUACAUUAUAAAUAGAGGGCGGGAAGGAGACUCUAAAUUAUCCCUCUUAAAACCUUUCUUCAGAUAUAGAUAGCAAAAUAACACUCAACAAAUAUGAAGUUUAAAGCUUGUCUAUUCUUUGGUCUUCUCAUUGCUGCAAAUGUCCUGGCCGAGGUUGCUCAAGAUGAAAAAAAGAGUUAGUAUUAGAAUUCAGUGCAUCUUUCCAUAUAUUUACCCAAAAACAUUUUCGAAAUGAACAGCUCCUACUCAUGCCGGAAAAUGAAGGGAGAUUGAUCAGUUAACCAAUGGAAACAUGCUACUGUGCUCACAAAACAAGCAAACUAUUUUAUAUUGCACCAUGAAUAUAUAUUUGCUUUUUGAACUUGUACGUUCCUGAUUUGUGCAGAUGAUGAAGCAAACCAGAUCAACAAGCUAAAUGAUGCAAAAGAAACACACCAGUAUGGAGGCCACUGCAGGCAUGGCUGCUAUCUUGGGGGUCCCUAUGGAUGCAGAAGGUGCUGCACACCUGGUGAGGCUAAAAUAUGAAGUUCAUCUAAAUGCUAGGAUGUUGUGAUCUCUUAUUUGAUUUCCUCAUUAUGAUACAGAAGUGCUGUUUUGUUGAUAUAUGCAGUAGAGGCUGCCAGAGAAAACUAUCAGGUAGCUGGAGAUGGAUACAGUGGUGGCUAUGGGGGUAUAGUUAUGGUGGUGGAUAUGGUGGUGGCUGGGGUGGUCGAGGCGGGGGAUGGGGCUGGGGUGGUGGCCGAGGUGGCGGCUGGGGAGGAGGUGGAGGUGGUUGCCGAUUCGGCUGCUGCGGAAACAACAGGUGGGGAGGUUGCAGGAGCUGCUGGACCGCUGAAGAAGCCAAAGCCUACAAGGACAAUGAAGCCAAACCUUGAAACAUGGUUCCAAAAAUUUGGUAGCACAAGACCAACCAUGUAUUUGUGUAGAUAGACAAAUAAUAUAUACAUGGAAUAAGCGCCAGAGAAGAGAGAGAAUAAAAAAGCUGGCAGGUUUUAUUCCCACUUCUGUUCUAGGGUUAGAUCCCUAGGUAUUUAAGUUCAUGAGUCCAACGUAUUCCUGCAGUUGUCUGUGUGUAUAAAUAAAAACCUUUCUUUUCAUGCAAAAGGCUUCAAAAAAUUGAAUGUUUAUUUGGUGAUAAUUUUAGAUGGUUUCAAACAUACAGUUGAAAGAUUUACAAGCCCCAAGCUUGUAUAUCAUUGAUACAAGACUACGGCAUUAUUUAAAAGAAUAAGCACAGAUUUCAAAUGUAGCAACAGUCCCAAGUUCCUUUUAGGCAUGGACCGAAGUCCGUAUAAACAGACUGCCAGGUGUAAAUUUAAUGAGCAACAUUUUAGCAAUUAUGGAAAAAUCAGAAUCCCCAUCUCAUCUUUGCAAAUGCAAUGGAUGGUAUUCUAGAUAUACAAGUUCCACAAAAGGAACGCACUGAACAGACAAAUAUCAAGCAGACAGCAAAGGAGUCAUAUAUGAUGAAAUGACCUUGUUCAUGAGAAGGAAACCCCAAUGUUGUGUAAAAGGUGAAAAUAUAAUAGGAAAAAACAAUUAUCACAAAUUUCUGAACCCAAAGCAAUAAGGGGUUUGCAUGAGUUGCAACUGAACGUCGCCCACCUUUGUAGCCCUUAAGUUGCUAAAUCAGUUUCGAGAUGAAUACACAAGAAGGAAAUCAACAAUGAAUCUCCAAUUUUUCUAGUUUCAGCAAAAGGCUUUGAAAAACCGUCAAGAACUUUCUUUUGGCGGUAAGUAGUUUGAAAAGGCAUCUCAUAUAAACUAUAAUACCCUUGACAGCUGUACGUUUGUCGCGCCCCAUUUUUUGAAUAAAAUAAAAUUUUAAGUAUUUAAAUUUAGGUUUAGAAAUUAUUUAAACAAUGAUAUAAACAAAGACACAAUAAAAAAUUAACAAAAUUUUUUAAAGAAAUUUGGUGUCUACAACGUUUAUAUAGUGAUAGAAAUAGGUGGCAAAAAUCCAUUAAGAUUUAUAGGAGACGUGGAAAGGAUGUGUCGAAUGCCCAAGCAUUGAUUUGGCAUGCUUUUGAUGACAAGAAACCAACUUGAGAGUUGGUUUGAAUUCUAUGGAGUUUAUUUUCUGAUUUUCGCCGGCAGCGGUAUUUUAGUAAUUUGAAUUAGCUGCAGGAAAUUUAUGUUUAUAGUAAUUUUCUGUUUAGUAGUUAUUUUUGGUAAUUAGUAUUUUAGUUGUUAUAGAAAAUAAAAAAGCUUAGCUUUCUAGCUUUCUACUAGAAUUCUAUUCUAGUUAGGAAUCCUAAUUAGGAUUAGAAUGAACUUUGUUCUAAGGUCUAUAAAUAACCACUUCUCCACAAAGAGAAGUCAGUUUUUGGUUAUUAAUAAAAUUUUCCUGCAGACUUAACGUCUUCCUUAGGGCUGAGGCCUAAAGAUUCCUAGGAGUGAUUCCUAGAAUUACCAAUCAAUUUUCACCUUAUUAAACAUAUUCUACCAUCCUAUUCCACGUUGCUCUUAUAAGUUCGGUGACAUUCAAUACCUAAGCUUUUCUACAAAGCUGUUGUGCCUACCAAGUUUUUGUGCUGCGUCAUAUAGUAAGAUCAUCAUAAGAAUAAUUCUCUUUUUUUUUUCCUUCAAAUUCCACUUUCACAACCCGUAGGCAGAAAAAACUAACUUUCAAAUUAGUCUUACAGCUCAGAACUUGCAAGCUUAACUUUUAAGAUCUAAGAUUCUACAGAGUUCAAGGUGCUCGGAUUAUCAAUUCCCCAGCAUUCCAAAAUGAUAGGUUCUUGAGCUAGCAACACACUCAAGCCUGUUUAACUUCAACUGUGAGGGGUCUCAUUUCUAUUGCAACUCUGGUGUCAAACCAUUCAUAUUUGAAACGAGAUUAUGAGCUCAGUGUUAUCGAAAGCAUAAUUUAAUUUGAGGCUCUAAAUAGCUAAGCUUGCUUAGGCAAAAGGCAGAGUCCAACGCUCUCACCUCAUUGAGUGAGACUGCAAAACACUUAAAUCUACACAUUUCCAGUCCAAUUGCUCAAGGUGAGAUUCAUAAUUAUCCUUUGUCUGGGUGUACUACCUGACCAAACAAAUGGAAGAAAUUUCUUAAGGUUUGAAAGAAGGCACAGAUGAUAGAAUUGAACAGAGGCUG